rnacentral:lncRNA from 1 species
AAAGCCUCAGGUUUGUUCAUUUGGAAGCCAUCGUCUCCACCACCUCCAAGACACUGCCUGCUGCAGAUAGCGACAGCGAUGAUGAAGAACCUGACUCGCUCAUGUCUGACUGGGUGAUCACGACAUGGAGCAACUCCAAGAUGAGUACCUCGUGGGAUGACUGGAUCAAGGACUGCGAGGCCAAAGCAUCGCACACCACGAUCCACAGCAAGCCCAAGUCAAAGAUGCUCAACUCUGGAUUGCUGUCACCUGAAGGAGCAAAUCAAGAGCGAGCCUUGCAGAACCUCUGGGUGUCCCACCCAGCUCCUGGCAUCGAUGAUGGUGUCGUUUACUUGCUGGCCAGAGUCAGAUUCCAGGACCCGAAGGCAUUCGUUAUCGCUCUUGACGCCAGGAAGAAUGUUCUGCUAGGCUCAGCUGAGUUCGCGACUGAGAAGAAACGCGGUGAUGGCGUCAUGUAUUUCCCAAGUAACAUCUCAAAGUACAUCGCCCCAGAGGCUAGGGUUCUUCCUAUUACCACAGGUACUGCUCUAAUUAAGUAUUGCAGCUGCAAAUUAAACCCUGCUCCAAGAUAUGGGAGUGGGUCUACAAAGAUGAGCUCUAAAUUAAUGAGAAUACCUGAUCACUGAACCAUGGCCUGUGUCAGUCCACUGCAUAUUUCAGUUAGCUUGCAUUGAUUCGAUAUGCCCAUAUUUUCCUUUUUGAGUUUUUUCACCUGCUUGGCUGUUGAUAAUUAUCCGCUGUAAUUAGUCACUUUGAUUUCUAUUGCAAUUAUAGAUUUGGGGAAAAACGGGUAGAAACAUAGCUAGGAUCAUCUCAUCAGCCGUGCGGUUAGUGGGGGGAUUGGGUGUUGGUGGAGUUAAAACCUGCCCGUCGCACUUUGCCUAACGGGCGAAAUCCUUCACCCUGCACCCACGGGUGGUUUUUUGAACCCGUACCCAUCCCGGUGAGGUUUGAGUUGGAUUAGCAUCCCUGUUAGUUAGAACAGAUAGAGCACCUUGCAUUUCAAACACACAUGGGUGAAACCACAGCACCGUACCAGCACUUGCAGGGUGGAAUUUUACACCUGCAAGCAUGGGCUGUAGUUGUCUGUUGUUACAAAAUGGGGCAUUUAAAGUUUUUCCAUUUUAUUAUAACAAAUGAAUAGGCGACCAGAGUUUUACUAGCAAAUUUUAUGGGGAAGGUAAGGCAUAAGCAUCAAGUAUGAAACUAUUUACCAGGGAGGCCGGUUCGUUCAUCCUAUUCUGAUAUUCAGGACCAAGAGAUCCUGGAUUCUCUUUCGGAUAGGCCCCGAAUGGAGGGGAACUAAUUAAAAAUAUUUGAUUUUUCUCACUGGAUGCUGUCACAUGUGUUGAAGAUGGAUGGGAGGAGUCAAGCCUGCACGAAGGCACUGAAAAUGUAGAGAUUCCUAGUUUACCAAUCUACUUCCCUGGCUACGGGUUUGAAUGAUGAUAAGUGCUCGAGUUGUUCAGAUCAUCUCAUGUCGUUUGUGACCUGAGUACAUAUGUGCUACAGGUCUUGACAGUACUUGUGCCCUGUUUGUUUAUCUAGCUACAUACUCCAUUAAGCUGUGUGCUGGUUGGCAAUCUAGAUUAUCGGUGGUUUGGAUUAUUUAGUUUUGAUGAAUGAUUAUUAUCUGCAGUGCCCUUGCUUAUACCGCUGCUUGCUGUGCUACAGCUUAGCUUCUCACUGCUUGGUGCUGCCGUUCAAUGCUCGCUGUGCUUGCUACUGCACGCCGUUCAAGUAAUCGUACAUUAGUACUUGUGGCACGGAGAAUUCUAUGGUGUUUUAGAUUAAAAAAAAGUGGCAAGCGACGACAUUAAUUAGUACUUGUGUCCUUGUAUCUAUGCAUUGCUGUACCUUUGCUUUUUAAUAUAAUACAAAAUAAUGUCUCAUUGGCACCUGGACAUACUUUUUCUGGUAAAAAUGUGUAAUAGUAAACACCAAGCUAGCAAAUGUCGAAGGGAUGCUCGUAUUUUUUCGAUUAAUUGUUUUUACAGUGUUAAUUUCUGUUGAUAGUUGACUCCAUUAAUCUUGGGUGUGUAAAAAGUAGCAGAAGAAGAACCGGGAGUUUUGGUAAAGAAGAAAGGAAUGCUGAGGUUUUUGGCCCAGGUCAGCUAUCGUGACCGGGCCACGAAACAGCCCACAUAAAAUAGGCUACGGCAUGCGGCCCGCCUGCUAAAAUUUUGCACGGACAGCCGACGGCCCGCCAAAAGUCACGCGACCGGGACCGGAGCGCCCACUGUCUUUCUACACCGUUUCCCGCCGUUCGCCGGUCAAACUGGUCAGAGUCAGAGCCGCUGGUAGUAUUCGGACCCAGUACAACUCCGCUCGCGUCGGCGAAAAUCCAUGGGCCACGGCACGACGGAACAGCGAGGAGCGCCGGCGUUUAAGUUCCAUCUCGACGACAAAGAACCCAACCCGAUCGCCUCACGCGAUCCUGCUCUCACCGUAGCGCGCCGCUGGUCGCUAACAAUGUCCAUGAGCAAGCUCGCCGCCGCCGGCGACGGCUGGGCCGACCUCCCUCGCGACCUCCUCGAGUCCGUCCUCGCCCGCCUCCCCGUGCCGGACCGUCUCCGCUUCCCCGCCGUCUGCACCGCGUGGCAGUCGGCCGCCGCCACCGGCGCCUCCGGAAGCAACGCGCCGUUGUCGCCGUGGCUCAUGCUCCCCUUCAACCCGACCGCGCGCGGGCGCCCGCGGCGUGGCGGCGGCGGCGACGCCAGGCUCCUGAGCCUGGCGGAGGGCAGGGCCUACGCCAUCCGGCACGGCCGUCUCCGAGCACGUCUGCGUCGGCUCGUCGCCCGACGGGUGGCUCAUCACCGCCGACGCCAGCUCGGAGCUGCAUCUCUUGAACCCAGUCACCGGCGCGCAGGUCCAGCUGCCGUCCGUCGCCACGCUCCCGUUCGUCGACGCCACCCGCGGCGCGGACGGUUGUGUGGAAAGCUACAGCCUCCGGCGCUGCUUCGCUGACGACGACUGCGACGACGAGGUGCUGAUCCCGCCGGAGACGCUCGCGCCCGACAGGCUCCGGUACGAGGUCUACGAGAAGGCCAUCGUCGUGUCCGCGACGCGGCGGCUGCCUCGCCGUCGGGGGAGACAUGGGGCGGCUACGCCUUGGUGCUCAUCUGCCAGCCCCUGUCCCGUGUCGCCGUCGCCCGAGCAGGGGACGCGGGAUGGACCCAGCUCGACACGCCCGCGCGCUGCUGGGUCGACGCCGUGCGCGCGGCCGGAGCCGACGGGGUGGUUUACGCGAUGGACACCGCGGGGCGCGUCGAGGCAUGGGACAUGGACGCGACGCCGGCGCCGGCGCCAUCUCGGGCGGCGAUCGCGCCGCCGUGCCGCUGCUCUGCGCGCGCGUGCGCCAUGUUUGCGGUGUGUCGCAGGUACCCCAUGGAGCUCGCGCCCAAGUCAAGAGUAUGGCCAAGUCCCUAUGCAGGCAAGUGCUAGCCAUUGUGAAGUCAUUUUAUUCAAAAGUCGAUCUGUCCAUGGUUGCCGAUGGCAUGGCUGGAGAUUGUACCGAUGAUGCGUACAUCCAAUAUCAAGAGGAGUUGGAGCCGGUGGCCGAGAGAGUUGCAGAGUUUGUUGAUCUUGAGUAAUCAUGGUUUGCUGCCUUUUUUUGUAACUUAUUGGUAAACUCGAUGUACCUGAACAAGUGUCUUUUGUUUGAGGUGUUGAUCAUCAUAUAUGCGAUGAGUACUAGCUUGUCGGUUUACAAUGAGUAGUCUUGUGGGUAGUCAUUGAGGUGGCGGUAGUCUGCAUCGUGGACCCCAAUUAUUGCAGUUAUUUGUAGAGGACGUGCAUGUGAGUAAUGUGUCCUUUGCAUUAUUGCUUUGUACUGGUGAGGACCCACGGGAGUACUAUGCAAGAUUUAUUGUUUGUAGCCAGAGUUAACCAUAUGUGAGCUUUGAUUCCGCGCAGAUAGGCUUUCACGUGAAAGUUAUCAUUGCUUAGGACAAGUCGAAUUACUGUGUAGUCACGGUGCGCUAUGUUGCCUAGUCUUUCGGUUUAUAAAUAGAGCCCCAGCUGCCGUUGCGGAAACAUGGAUCCGAUUAUAGCAAUGGUUGGCUUUAGGUCGCUUCUCUUUGACAGUAGCAAGUUUCCAAUGAGCGCCCUGGUUCUAGAAGUUUACUCGUAGUGAGGUUCCACAUUCCUUCCACAAAUCUUCGCGCUAGAAAAGAUUGCUCUGAUGCUAGAAGAAUCCUCAUAGGAGGAUUUCCCGUGUGCUCCAUCUUUUCCCCUGCUCUCUGGUAAUAACCAUGCUGGAGCUCGCAAGUGAAGGAUGAUGAGCUUCAUGGUCUUUAUCCAGUUUUCUGGCCGAGGAUGGAAGCGUGGUGCCGACUGCUCACUUCCUCUGCAACGUCUCGGGAUGAGACUCAAGUGCACGAUGUGUGCUUGAAGUCCAGUUCCGAGUAUUUGUAGAGGGGAAGGGGUGUUGAUGAAGGGUAGCGGGACUGGAGUACGUGGAGCCCCAGUCUCUGUCUAUGCCACCGCCGAGGGGAGGAGAAGGGCACAACUGCCUAGUGGGCAGCUUCCUUGCUUGCACUUCCCGCCUCUUGGCAUUUCUUGCUCCUGAUCUUCGAGUAGUCGCUAGGCUCAAGUGUAUCCUUGUGAUAUAAUAAAAGCCUGGGACUUCUAUUGUGAUUGCAAGUUGUCGGGAAUACACCCCAGGCCCACGAGUAGACCUUGGACAGCCCACUAAGGGACGUACUCGGACACGAUCAGAAUAAGGAUAGGCGCAUCCUACUCGGACUAGUCAAGUAUGUUUAUGGAAAACUACUCGGGCCUUACCGAGUAGAACUCUGUAAUAAUACCCGACUAGGACUCAGACUUGUAACCCUGCCCUACCGUGUAUAUAAGGGCGGGCAGGGACCCCUCUCAACAACAACUCCAGUUCAUCAAUACAAACCAACACACAAGACGUAGGGUAUUACGUGAUCUAGCGGCCCGCACCUGUCUAAAUCGUGUUCCUUGCGUCACCAUUGAUUCCUUGAUUCUUGAUGAUCCUUACCGCACAAAAGACCUCCUAGGGUACCCCCUAGGCGGGUUGUCAGUCUAAAACACCGACAGCUGGCGUGCCAGGUAGGGGGAACUCGUCGAGUUUCUAAGCGCGAACUCAAUGGCAAAGGUCAUCAUCAGGCCCGUUUUCUUCAUCGAAGCCGGCGCCACCUUCAUUUUCGGAUCCUGGUUUUGCGUCGCUGACGGCUCGGGUUUGUUCCAGCGCUAGAUCGUCGACGUUCAGGAGAAGAAACCAGGAAAUAUGAUCAGAAAAAAUCAAAAUUUCAAAAUCGACGAGUUGGAGUUCGACUAAGCGUCGGAUUCGACUUCGCCUCGGACUAGUCGGUCCCAGCCAGUGUCCAAGUCGGUUUCGACUUCAAAGCGGUUCCCGCACGGACUCCACAACGCAACCAAAGUUCAGCAAGGCUUUCUUACUCGAACCCUAUUUGAACUCGGGCAUGACAAAGACGUCGACUCCGACUCGUCUUAUUCGCUAGAGAUACCAUUAUCUGGUCCAGCCCAAGGAUUGGUAAUAACUUCAACAUCACAAGGCAGAUUCGUCCACUGGCCGGGAUUGCGACCAUCUCUUCUUGACCGCGACUACGACUCGCGCCUUGUCGCCCAUGUAGACAAUCUCCCAUAUCAAGAAGGCAUUCCACUCACGUCCAACCACGAGGAAAGCUCUACAGAGAUCGCAACGUCAAGCUCCGGAAGCUACUACCUGGACAGGGAGAUACUUGUUAUUACUCAGAAUAACAACCCGGGUACUAGCCAGAACAGAACCCCCAGGAGAUUAGCACAACUCGACAACAUCUCCGAAGAUGAGUCUACAGCUGACGCCCCUCACGAUGAAACCUCCGAGCAACAUAACCAAAGAAGGACGUGCAACGCUACUCGAGCCGAGCGACGACAGUCGAUGGCUACAAAUAUUCCCAUUACAAAUCUUGAAAGGGCUUUCAACGCAGUUGUAACACCUUCCAUUUUAGUCAUUAAGGUAACUCUGAAGAAAUAGAAGCAAUUCAUGAAGAAAAGGAGAAGAAAUUGGCUAAAAAUCAAAUUCGGGUCAAAUUUGACCGAAAUUUGAAUUUUGAAUUCAAAAUUCAGAAAAAUUUGGCAAAAAUGUGGAAUGGAAGUGUAAGGGUGAUUAGAACUUGAAGAUCAAGCUUUGGGACAAGAUCUGGUCCUAAAUGCCUCAAGAAAAAUCAAAGAAAGAAAUUAAAAACCGAAGUUACUAUUCACCAUCCGACAAUAGAAGUUCAGAAAAACAGCAGCAGAGUCCAUUUUGGAAAUUAAUUUCCGACCAAUUUUCCAAAUAAGUGAACCAAGACAACUAUACCAUAUUAAAGUAUGGAUUUUGGACAAGUAUCUUCAGGUGUUGUUGAUCAAGAAUAGUUGAGGGAACCAUUUCAAAUGGAGGCCCCAAAGUCAGCACCUUGUCACGGUAGACUGCACUACUGAAUUUGACUAAGUCUGAAACAGCAAUAUGUAGCCAAGUUUGGAGCCGAUUUCAGAGAAAUGUGGAGUAAAAGGUGUAAGUGUUUAUGGGCAAAAUGGAAUCCUUGGAUGUUGUAGAACACAAAUGGGGAGUAGUUGGACUAAAAGGAAGGGAUUUGGACCACUGAAAUGGUUUACAAAGUCGGGUGAAUGACCACCUCGAAUGACUGACGAACUAAAUGGGAAGAACAGAAGGGUUCAGUUACUUGCCAGAGAAAAACUUAAAUUUGAAAACUUUUGGAUGCUUAUCUCGGGCAAAGGUUUAAAUAUGAAUUGUAGAGCUCAAGUUUAUCUACAACUUUGUUUAAGUGACUUGUGAACCGUCGGAUUCGAAAUCAGCCGUGGUGGAGCUCUAAAUUUCGGGCGUCAGAAAUAAAGAGGGGGAGAGUGACAGAGCCGAGCUCGACGUGUCGCCGCCGGCGUUCUCGGUCGCCCACCAGCGCGGCAGCUACGCCACCUCCUCACCACGCAAGCCUACGAGUAGACCACGGUGUCGCCCAUGCGUGCAGUAAGUCUUUCAUAUAUCUACCGCUCCUGCGCCGCCCCUUUUACCGCCGUUCCUUUUUACCGCCGCCGCUCUCUCUGUCAAGCCAUCGCAGCCGACCAAAUUCCGUUGCCACGCCUCACCUCCCGUCAAUUCCUCUCGCCCACUCCCCCACAGAUACCCCAGCUACACCCCAGUCGAGUUGUUGUCCAACAUCCUUGCCGGAAUACCCUACACCGCCGUCGUUUCCGUCCGCCGUCGCCGCACCUCCUGCUCACGGUGAGCACCUCCUUGCUCUUGUUCUCUUUCUUCAUAGGUAGUCGUAGGCGGGUCCUUGGGGUGCUUGAAAGCUGUAGAGGGAGUCGUCGGGAUAAGCUAAGCCGUCGUUGUGCUUAGCCACGACCGGCCAUAGGCGCCGCCGCCCGCCGCCGUGGAGGGAGUAGCUCCGGCCGUCUCCCGGGAAGCUGUCACCGUGCACGGGUGCGCUAGGGCAUGGGGAUGCUUUCCCGGCCUAGCCCCGUCGCCGGUAGGGCGUCGGCCGGCAAGCCGCGCCGCCCCCUAUUGCGCUCAGGAUUUUGGCGGGAGGAGGAAGAAGGCACUGGAGUCGCGGGCCCGCGCGUCAGGAAGAAGAAGAGAAGGAGGAGGCAGGCCGGGUGACGGUUUAGGUGGGCCGCGAGUCCAAGUUGGCCCAAGUGCCAGCGCGAGAGAGGGGCCGGUGGGAGAAACGGUCGGAGGCCCAGGAGAGAAGCAGGUCGGUCUCGCGGGGGAAGAGAAGAAGGAGAGAUGGGCCAUGGGCCAGUGCCGGUCUGGGAAAGGAAUAAGAAAAAGAAAAAUGGCCUAGGGAGCCCAUCAGAGGAAAGGGUAGGCCGACGGGUGAGAUGAAUAGGAGAAGGGGUGGGUCCGAGCCGCGGGUCCAGUGUAAGAGAGAGGGGGUAGAGUAGAGUCGCGUGAGAAAAGUAGCCGGGGGUGUUUUUCGGGAAAAGAUAGAUUUCUUUUAUAGAAUAAUUAGUUUAAAUCCGAAUCUCACCAUUUAAAUCCCAGAAAUUUCUAGGAGUGUCCAAAAUUAGUGAAACCAAUUUUGUUAGGCUUAUGUUAUUUUCCUUUAUGCAUUAAAAUUUUUAUACCCUAGAAAAAUAAUAAAAAUUUGGGUAUUUAUUUAAUGCCUUUCUUUUAAGGUAUUUAAUAAAUGCUUAAUCUUUAUUAAAUGCAUAAAAUAUGAAAUAACCUUUUCAUAAUUAAAAAUUAUUAUUAACUCAUAGGAAAUUAGAUUUUAAGACUAGAAAUAAUUAUAACAUUUUCUAAAAAUAAAAGAAAAAGGCCCUAAGUAAGGUUAGUUAAGGAAAUAAAAUUGUGGGCUAAUCUUUUCAGGUUUUUGUGUGUUGGCUUGCAACUUUAUCAUGAUAAAUUGAAUAGUCCUUGUUGGCUUGCAACUUUAUCAUGAAGGAAAGUUGUAUAGUCUUGUAUUCAAAAAGUUGCAUUCCUAACCCCUGCAUAUGUUGUGUUAUAGACACCGAAGCACCAGAAGGAGAUUUCUCGGAAUAUUCAGAAGGAUCUUCGGAAUUUGAGGAAGUCUUUGAAUUGGUCCCCUACGAGGCCAACCCUUCAGACAGUGCUAACUUUUUUAGCGAACAAGGCAAGCCCUGGUGCAUUAUACCUAUUAUUUUGGAGUCAAUAUUUCAUGUGUCCAAUUAUCGGUUAUCUGCUAUAUGUAUGCACUAAGUCUAGGAGUUGCUUGAAACCCAUUCUUGUGCAUUAUCAUACCUUAUUUUAAGGACAUCUUUGCCACUUGUUCAAACCUUUAGAAAAUAACCCAAGUCUAGAAUUGCUUAGUUGCUCAAACACUUGCUUUACCAAACCUUAAGGUAAAUAUUGAGUCAUGCAUGUUAAUUAUGGAAAGAUAACUUGGAAGUCAAGAAGCGGACAGAAGCUAGGGAUGUAGUUCUGUCUGCUAGAUUAAUCUGGUUAAGGCCCGAUUCAUUGUCUUAACCUUUGAUCAAGUGAAAGACAUCUGAUCACUUACUGGGUAUGGGACCAGCAAAGCCCAGUAGAUUAGUAAACCCUCUGAUCGGGAAUUCCUCAUACCCGCGCUUGACGUGCUGGAGAUUGGCAGGGGCGUAGCCUGAAACUCACAUGGUGAUCGGGCCAGACGUGGGGUCCCAUGUGGGGGUGCGUCUGUUGGGACUACUCCCCGGACCCACGAGUAGGCCUUGGGUGGCCCACUAUGGGACGUACUCGGAUGUGAUCAGAACAAGGAUGGGCGUAUCCUACUCGGACUAGUCUUGUAUGUUUAUGGAAAACUACUCGGACGAUACCGAGUAGAACUCUGUAAUAGUACCCGACUAGGACUCAGACUUGUAACCCUGCCCUCCCGGGUAUAUAAGGCCGGGCAGGGACCUCCCUCAAAACAGAUCCUUCAGGACCAGAACACACAUCAAUACAAACCAACACACAGGACGUAGGGUAUUACGCGAUCUAGCGGCCCGAACGUGUCUAAAUCGUGUUCCCUACGUCACCAUUGAUUCCUUGAUUCUCGACGACCCUUACCGCAUAAAAGACCACCUAGGGUACCCCUAGGCAGGUUGCCGGUCUAAAACACCGACAGCUGGCGCGUCAGGUAGGGGAACUCGUCGAGUUUCUCAGCGAGAACUCAAUGGCAAAAGUCAUCAUCAGGCCCAUCUUCUUCAUCGAAGCCGGCGCCACCUUCGUUUUCGGAUCCUGGCUCUGCGUCGCCGAAGGCUCAGGAUCGUUCCGACGCCAGAUCGUCGACUCUCAGGAGAAGAAACCAGAAGAAGUAACCAGGAAAAAUCAAGAUUUCAAAGUCAACAAGCCCAAGUUCGACUACACGUAGGACUCGAUUUCGCCUCGGACUACUCCAACGUCUCGCUCAAGGGUUGGGCUCCGCCGACCCCAGGCCCUGGAGUCGGGCGAGGCAAAGCCACCCUUCCGCAGGGUCGGGCUUCGCCGACCCCAGGCCUCGGGGUCGGGCGAGGCGGAGCCACCCUUCCGCAGGGUCGGGCUUCGCCGACCCCAGGCCUCGGGGUCGGGCGAGGCGGAGCUACCCUCCCACAGGGUCAGGAUCUCCCGACCCUAGGACUUGGGGUCGGGCGAGGCGGAGCUACUCCCUCACGGGGUCGGGCUUGGCCGACCCCUGGACUCAGGGUCGGACUCGCUUCGGAUUCGUCGACCCCAGUCAGCAUCCAAAUCAGUUUCGAUUUCAAAGUGGUUCCCGCACGGACUUCGCAACACGACAAAAGUUUAUAAAGAUUCUCUUGCUCGAACCCGAGUCAAACUCGGGUACGAUGAGGACGUUGACUCCGACUCACCCUACUCUCCAGAAAUACCAUUAUGCGGUCCAGCUCAAGGGUUGGUAAUAACUUCGACGCCACAAGGCAGAUUCGUCCAUUGGCCGGGAUUGCGACCAUCUUUUCUUGACCGUGACUACGACUCGUGCCUCAUCGCCCAUAUAGACAACUUGCCAUAUCAGGAAGGCGUUCCACUUACAUCCAGCCAUGAAGGAAGCUACACAGAGAUUGCUACAUCAAGUUCCGGAAGCUACUACCCGGACAGGGAGAUACUUGUUAUUACUCCAGUUAACAACCCGGGAACUAGCCAGAAUAGAACCCCCGGGCGACUAGCACAAGUCAACAACAUCUCUGACGAUGAAUCUACAGCCGACAAUGAAACUCCUGAACAGCGCAAGCAACGAAGGGCGCGCAAUACUACUCGAGCUGAGCGUCGAUAGUCAAUGGCUACAAAUAUCCCUAUUACAAAUCUUGAACGGGCUUUCAACGCAGUGCAGGCUCAGGAGCACAACACUCGACUCGCGGCUAUCGCUUCCAUCAACAUUUUGACGACAUUGAUGCCUCAAGAUAAUGAUAACGCAGCCACAGCUCAACUCAUGCAGCGUGGCAACGGACUAAUUGCACAACUCGCGGAGCAAGCCUACAAGCUGCUUGACAAAGAAUCACCAAUCCUGUCCGUUCCCUGCAUUACAGAAGGAAGCAGGGGGGCUGCAGAUAAAAAUGUUGCUCCGCGAAACAACGAUGUAGUCAACCAGCCUCGGCAACACAGCCAAGGUCCAAGCAAGCAUAAAGUUCCUACUCAACAGAAGGAUGUAGGUGAAGCCAGCUGCACCAACUCGGUUAAAAGUGUUCGCCCUACUCGCAAGAACCGCGAGAUGUCCAACAUCAGCGAUCUACGAGAAAUCCUUAACAGUCGGCGUGAACGGGAAGUCGACAGCUACAACCACUUUCCUGCUUUCACAAACCGGGUAAUGAAAACAAAAUUACCCGAAAAGUUCAAACCGACCGGCAUUACCAAGUACGAUGGCAAGCAAGAUCCAAUUCAAUGGCUACGCUGUUUAUUCUGAAUCUUUCUAUUCUGAAUUCAGUUAACGAUGAGAUUUAGUAUCUUUUCUUGCACUUUCAUAACUCGUGAAAUGCCGAGUAGGCACGAAUUCCCCCAAUUUGCGACCUACCAUAGGAUUUGUUAUGUAAAUAGGUAUAUGUUCCCUUCCAUUAUGAAUCGCGAUUGUAUGGCCAACCAUUGCGAGAGGCGAACUCUGUAAUUCCCCUCCUGCAAAAGUGAUAGCGGCUGUAGCAUCCGUGUGGAAGAGGGUAAGCUUUCAGCAACACCUUUUUCAGAUUGGCUCAUCAUCUUUGGUUUCUUACUUGUUCCAAUAGAUAUAUACCAGAGGCUCGUGGUUACUCGCUAGCCGUCCAAGCAGCCGGAGGCAACAACGACACCAAAGUCAUUCAUUUUCCCAUAUGCAUGGAACCCGCACCACUGACCUGGCUCGAGUCACUCAAACCCAAGUCCAUCGACUCUUGGGCAGACUUGACAAAAGCUUUUACCAACAAUUUCGCCGGCUCCAUGGCUAGACCAGGAAACAAGAUUGACUUGCAACAAAUUAAGCAGAGAGAGGGCGAAACCUUGCGCGACUAUCUACGACAGUUCUUCGAAAAGAAGGCUACCAUAGUAGACAUCUCCGAAGCGGACGUCAUCGAGUGUUUCCAAAACGGACUCUACGAUCGACGAACAUACCAAGACUUCGGUUGCCGACGGCCGGCCGAUGUCAAAGAACUCAAGCUCAUGGUGCAACAGUGGGCCGAUGAAGAAGACAAAGAACGCGAACGGUUCGGUUCCCACCGUAACCGCGGACGCGACAACAGCCACAACAAUGAUACAGAUAAACCUCGUCAUAACGAUGCUCGGAAUUCCUAUCCAGGUAAUCAUAAUCACAAAAGGAAGCCUGACAACACUGUUGCAGCAAUGACCAACUCCGGGAAAAAAGGACAGCGCCGAAACGACGAUGGACCAAACCUUCACGGAGCUACUCAAAAAGCAGUGCCCAUGUCACCCGACCAGCAAGCACUCCACACUGGACUGUUACAGCAUGCGCCGAGUUAUGCAAGAUUUACCAGCACCACCAACUCCUGAAGAGUACGCCAAAAACAGAGACAAGGGUAAAAACAAAGCCCGCAACGAUGAAGAUGAAGAUGGCGAUUUCCAACCAGCUUCAAAAACCGUCAACGUUAUUUUUGGAGGCAUCCCUGGCACAGCAUCCAAGCGGGCCAACAAACUCGUACUCAGGGAGAUCAUGGCCAUCGAACCGACGGACCCCACACCGCUAAAGUGGUCGGAAGUUCCAAUAUCUUUCAGCAGAAAAGAUCAAUGGACAAAAUUUUCAGAACCCGACCGUUUUCCACUAGUCUUGGAUCCGGUCGUGGCAGGUUCCAAGUUAACAAAAGUACUCAUCGACGGCGGGAGCGGUCUCAACGUUAUCUUCACCAAAACAUUAAGGAAAAUGUGCCUCGACGUCACGGGCAUGCUCACUCCAACGUAUUCCCCUUUCUACGGCAUUGUGCCUGGAAACGCGGCCAUACCAUUGGGGCAAGUUGUCCUCCCAGUCACCUUCGGAACUAAAGAACAUUACCACACUGAGUACAUCAGAUUCGAGGUCGCCAACUUCGAGACUUCUUAUCACGCCAUACUCGGACGGCCGGCACUAGCCAAGUUUAUGGCCAUACCACAUUAUGUCUACCUGGUACUCAAGAUGCCAGGUCCCAAAGGUGAGGUCACGCUAUGAGGAGAUCUCCAGAGAUCCUACGAGUGUGACACCGAAGCCGUGGAAAUUGCUGCGACUACUCAAUCUCCUAGUCCCAUGCAACAAGUCUUCACCGCUUCAAAGAAACUCCAUCCAACUGAACUCGAGAUCCCCAAAAACAAGUCGGGCUCCACAAAGGUGAAACCCGCCAGUGAGCAAGACUUCAAAUCGAUCAACCUCCAGACCGGAGAUCCUUCCAAGACAGUCCUGAUCGGAACAAGGCUAGAUCCUAAAUAGGAACUCGCGCUCGUCAGUUUCCUUCGGGCUAACCACGAUAUCUUCGCUUGGAAACCGGCCGACAUGCCAGGUGUGCCCAAGGAACUGAUCGAGCAUUCCCUCAACGUUGAUCCCAAAGCUACUCAAAAACGGCAAUGACUACGCGGCUUCGCUCAGGACAGACGCGACGCCAUCAAAAAAGAACUCGCCAAGCUACUCGCGGCAGGAUUCAUCAAGGAAGUUUUCCAUCCUGACUGGCUCGCCAAUCCUGUGCUCGUUCGCAAGAAAAACAACGAAUGGAGAAUGUGUGUCGACUACACCGACCUCAACAAACACUGCCCAAAAGAUCCUUUCGGGUUACCUAGGAUCGAUCAAGUGGUCGACUCCACCGCUGGGUGCGCCCUGCUCUGCUUCCUCGAUUGCUACUCCGGCUAUCAUCAGAUAAGCCUCAAAGAGGAAGAUCAAGCCAAAACAGCUUUCAUCAUGCCCUUUGGAGCUUUCUGCUACAAAACAAUGUCCUUCGGACUCAAGAACGCAGGAGCAACUUACCAAAGGGCCAUACAGAUGUGCUUUGAAAAACAACUUCAUCGCAAUGUCGAAGCUUAUGUUGAUGACGUCGUCGUCAAAACAAGACACCGGGAGGAACUCAUUGCCGACUUGGAGGAAACUUUCUCCAGUCUCCACGCUUUUCGAUGGAAACUCAAUCCUACUAAGUGCGUCUUCGGAGUACCUUCCGGCAAACUCCUCGGGUUCAUCAUUAGCCAUCGCGGCAUUGAGGCCAACCCGGAGAAGAUAUCUACCAUCACAAACAUGCAGGCUCCAGCCAGCAUUAAGGAUGUGCAGAAACUCACAGGUUGCAUGGCCGCUCUCAACCGAUUCAUCUCGAGACUUGGAGAACGGGGACUACCUUUCUUCAAGUUUCUCAAAUGCCAGGACAAGUUCAAAUGGACGGAAGAGGUAGAUAAGGCAUUGACACAACUCAAAGACUUUCUGUCAAAGCCUCCUGUACUCACCGCUCCCUCGCCGAACGAGGACUUGCUCCUAUACAUCUCCGCUACCACUCAUGUCGUCAGCACGGCAAUGGUAGUCGAACGGUCUGAACCGGGCCACGCCUACAAGGUUCAACGACCUGUCUACUUCGUCAGCGAAGUAGUCUCGGACUCCAAAACUCGGUAUCCACCGAUACAAAAACUCUUAUAUGCUAUUCUGCUCACCUCCCGGAAGCUACGCCAUUACUUCCAAGAGCAUAGCAUCAUAGUCAUCUCCGACUUCCCGCUUGGCAAAAUUCUCCACAACAGAGAUGCCACGGGUAGAAUCUCCAAAUGGGCAGUCGAACUCGGGGCUCUUACUUUGAGCUUCAAGCCAAGGACAGCCAUCAAGUCUCAGGCUUUGGUCGACUUCAUAGCCGAGUGGACCAAAAAUCAAAUUCCAACUCCAGUUGAGCGACCAGAGCAUUGGGUAAUGUACUUCGACGGAUCCCUCAAACUUGAAGGGGCCGGCGCAGGCGUCUUACUCAUCUCCCCCAAGGGAGACCAACUUAAGUACAUGCUGCAGAUAUUCUGGGAAGCAUCCAAUAACGAAGCCGAGUACGAAGCAUUGCUACACGGCCUUCGCCUUGCGAUCUCCCUCGGCAUCAAACGACUACUGGUGUAUGGCGACUCCCUAGUCGUCAUAAACCAGGUCAAUGAUGAGUGGGACCGCAACAAAGACAACAUGGAUGCUUAUUGCAAAGAAGUCCGUAAACUGGAAAACAAAUUCUCCAGCUUGGAGUUCCAUCACAUCGUCCGCGACAACAAUGUUGCUACCGACGUCUUGUCCAAAAUGGGCUCAACUCGUGCAGAAGUUCCAGCAGGAAUUUUCGUACACGAACUACGCAAGCCAUCCAUACCUGUACAGGUCACACCACCAGUAGUCCCGACUACUGACGGCUCUCGAGAGAUCAUGAUGAUAGAAGUCGACUGGAGGACACCCUUCAUCGACUACAUCAAAGAUCACUAGCUACCAUCUGAUAAGAAUAAAGCCGAGCAAAUCUCCUGAUGAGUAAAGAAUUACGUUCUAGUCGGAGACAAGCUCUACAGGAAAGGUACAUCAUCUGGAGUACUCAUGAAGUGCGUCACCAGAGAAGAUGGCCAAGAAAUCCUAGAGGAAAUACACAGAGGAAUCUGCGGCAACCACGCCUCUUCGAGGACACUAGUCGGCAAGGCCUUCAGAGCAGGAUUCUACUGGCCCAUGGCUCUGGCCGACGCCAAGCAACUCGUCCAGAAGUGCAAAGGUUGUCAAUUCUUCACAAAACAGCAACAUGUGCCGGCUUACAAGCUGGUCACAAUACCUCCACCAUGGCCAUUUGCCUGCUGGGGGCUCGACAUGAUCGGCCUAUUACCAACUGCGCCAGGAGGAUUCAACAGAGUACUCGUGGCAAUUGACAAGUUCACCAAGUGGAUCGAGGUCAAACCAGUCACUUGCCCAAAGGCAGACCGAGUCCUCGACUUCUUGGAUGAAAUCGUACAUCGUUAUGGUUUUCCCAAUAGGAUUAUCACCGAUCUCAGGUCAAACUUCAACAAUCAUGACUUCUGGGAAUAUUGCGAGAACAGCGGCAUCGACGUCCGCUAUGUCUCGGUUGCUCAUCCGCGAGCCAAUGGUUAAGUCGAGUGUGCCAAUGGCAUGAUACUCGAUGCUCUGAAGAAACGACUACAUGACGUCGGCAACACCAAAGGUGGCCGAUGGCUCAAAGAGUUACCCAAUGCCUUGUGGGGCCUAUGUACCCAACCAUGCAAGACUACGGGGCUGUCACCUUACUUCUUGGUAUAUGGCUCAGAAGCCAUACUACCCGCCGACAUCAUGUGGUAAUCACCAUCCGUCGAACAAUAUGACGAAGAGCUUGCCAUAGAAACACGGCGAACGGAGAUCGACAGUUUGGAAGCGACAAGAUGCGCAGCACUGGUGCAAUCUGCCAGAUACCUUGAUGGUUUAAGGCGUUAUCACGAUCGCAACAUCAAGGAAAGGUCUUUUAACUUGGGCGAUAUGGUCCUUAAGCGUAUUCAAGACACAUCAGGAUUGCACAAACUCAAUUCACCAUGGGAAGGUCCUUACAUUGUAUCAAAGGUUACAGGACCUGGAUCUUACAGACUCCAAGAGCUCUCAGGAGAACAGGUCCCAAACUCUUGGAAUAUAGAACACCUUUGUUGCUAUUACCCGUAGCAGCACUCGAGUACUCACUUCCAGGCAACUACUCGGGACGACUACUCGGCUAUCGGCUUCAAGGGGUGUUCGCUUUAAUGCGCUAUCAAUACAACAACUCUUUAUUGAAACAAGAGUACAUCAAAUUACAUACGAGUACAAGGACUCAGCUCAACAAAGACUACAAGCAACUGCCUACUGGCGGGCUGCAUUUAAGUCUCAGGCUUUUACUAUAUCACAAGGCCACUCAGGUCUACCGACCGUAGGAGGGGCCCACACGCAAGGAAGCUGUGCAAAACGCAGCCAUGCCCAGGUAUCCUACCCAAGGCACGUCCAGGUACUCCAUUACCGCCAUCAUCAGGACAGCGGCAACGUCAAAACCGGGAAGACGCGCCUAGAGGGAACCAAGGCUGCUCUUUUGCUAGCCUUGCGAAGCCUAUCUACUCUAUGGCCGCACCUCCACUAUCUUUCAGAGCGGGAUGAAGACCGCGACACUCGUCACCCAUCACUCGCUACGAGUUCCAGCGCAUACUCCACUGGAUCAGUAGCUACGGGAUGAGGCAGGCGACGAACCCUCCUACGAGGAUUCUUCUAACAUCGCGGCUAUCCCUACGAGCGCAAGAGCCUGUGGAGGCAAGGUGGCCUUAAUCUACGAGGAACCUUCUAGCACCGGUGCGCUCUUCUCUGGCUCUCUACACUCAAACAGAAGCAACCGCAGGCAAUCCAUUGCUACUCAGGAGCUUGAGUUGGCUCGCCCACCAGAUGGCCCUAUUUAUAGCCGAAAGCUCCAACUACCACCGGCCCAAGAGUUACUGUGCACCCGUGAUCAAUAGGUCUGACAACUCCUGACUCUGCCCAUGUGACUGCACUCAUGCCGCAAUAGACAAAAAGAGCACAAUACACCCGUGUCUCCGCAAUGGACGAAAGAGCUCAGUACAUCCGUAUGGCAACAGAGGACAUCUGAGUACACUACACCCGUGUCCCUCAGAAGAGUACUCAAACAAAAUUACGACUACUCGAUACUUGGGACUACUACGAGCCAAGUUUGGCCUACACGACGGGGACUCCGACUACUCCGAUCCUGGGACCUAAGGUCGGGCGAGGCGGAGUUCCACCCGCGAGGGGUCGGACGCCUCUGACCCCAUGACUCAGGGUCGGACGAGGCGGAGUUCCACCCGCGACGGGUCGGGCGCAUCCGACCCCAGGACUCGGGGUCAGGCGAGGCGGAGCCACUCCUUCAAAGGGUCGGGCACAGCAGAGUUGCAACACUUCGGGAUUCAACAACAUUUUUUCGCAAACAAACCCCAAAUUCCAAAAUCUUGAUAUUCAGAAGUAUCAACAUACUCGGUACAGGAAUAAGGGUUAUACAAAAGCUCAAAUUUCUUCUAAGGAGACGAACUCUGACAUCUUGGCUGCGAUGGGCUCCGCCUCCUUGAGGUACCGCACAUAUGCUUCAUCUGUGCAGUUGCGAGCCAUGCCAUCUCCAGCUGCCGCCAAGUCUGCCCUCGGGUAAUAGGACUUCACAACUGCAAGAACCUGUUUGCAAACAGUCUUGCAGAGUCCCGCCACCUUACUCGAGGCAGCUCUUAGUCGCUCUACUAGCGAUUGCGGCUCUCCGCCUUCCUCCACGGGGGCUAUAGAAUUCACCAAGUCUUCGGCCGCUCCGGACAAAUCUUGGAGUUCACCCCGAAGCCUUCCCAAGGUCUGGGCAUGAUCUCUGCAUGCCACCAUGGCCAUGGCGAGCAUCACGCCGUUUUGCAUCUUCCAGUCUCGAUGACGCUCGCAAGCAGCCUUUGCUUCUGUGAGUGCGGCCCGAAGAUGUUCAGCUUCAUCCGCCACUCGAUCGUGAGCGUUCUUCCAAUCAAUAACUUGGCUCCUUGCAGCCGCCUCCUGCUUCUUGAGCUCUACAAAGGACAAGAACUCAGGUCACAUCCAACUACAGUGCGACACACCCAAAGUAGUCGCCAUGCUUACCUUCAUACUUCUUGUUCAAGGACUUGUAGCUGCUCUCCAGUUUCUCUUGCAGAACGGCGUGAUCCGUGCGUUCCACGGCAAAGGAUUUUGCCCCAACUUCAUGAACCCGAAGCGCUUCUUUCAGUCGGACGCACUCCUACUCCAGCUGGUGGUUUCUUUCCUGAAAAGGUCUGGGUGCGUUGUGGUAAGUUUCACGCCUCACGACUACUCGGGUCCUGCAAUAACAUCAGCAAUAUCUACCUGGAUGCCCCGGAACACAUCCAUGGCCCUCUGGAGCUCCAAAUCAGAAGGCGGGCUGAGUACCGGCCUUUGGGUACUCUCCACAAGAGGAACUGUACCUAGAGCAGCACCUACAACAUUCACCAUAUCAGCUACCAACUACAACUACAAUAACAAAAUACAGGCAUUUACCUGGAGCAGUCGCUUGCUUGGAUUUCUCAACUACAGCCAGCACUCCGCCAGAGGACGCGGAUAGGCCAGCACUUCCCGAGCCUGAUGUAGCAGCAGGCUCCUCUACUGAGCGAAUCACGUCUUGAAGCAUCGACAUCGUAGCUCCAAGAUGACCCGGGUCAACCUCGGGAACUUCUUCAACAAUCAUGUCCUCAAAAGGAACAGAUGUUGUGGCCAAAGGGUCCGGUACUACCCCUGUUUCUACAGGGAUAGUUUCCUCUGCAUCCCUGCACCGCCAAAGUGUUACUACAUGAUUUCCAGACAAUGCAACAUCGUUCAAAAGGACAAGGGCGCUCACCGAGUUGAACGUGGCGGCAGUCGCACACGUUUCUUCUCGGUAAUAGGCGGCCGAGUACUCGGAGCCGCGGGAACGGCCGCCAGCACUGUUUUCUCACCAAGACCUACAAAACCGAAGUCAAGACUACAGUACUACUCAAAUGACUACAUUUGACAAGGACAGCGCUUACCGCUGGCGAUCACAUUUGAAAACAAGGUGCCAGUAGCAAGUACUGGUGACACCUCCUUUGCCACUCCAGCAGGCAGCCCCAGUACCGCCUGAUCAGCAGUGGGCGGCAUGGUAGCUAAUGGAGUUGGCACGGUUAACUUGGGGGCUGCCACAGCUGUUGACGGCACUUUCUCCAGCAAUGUGUCAACGGCCGCCCCACCGACUUCAGGGUCGGACACGGCUAUCUCUUCAGAGACAGUCUCAUCUACAGCCUUCAUGAACCAAGACAUGAUUCACCACAUCAAUAAAGCAUCUCAAGUUCAUCAGUAACAUGCAAGUUAUCGAGUCCAUACCUUGGUACCCUGAGACUUCUCAGUGGUGGCAACAGACUUAGCCACAGCCAUCUUGCAGACUACUCUGCGCCUCUUGACAGGAGGAGAAGGUUCAUCCUCUGAUUCCUCGACGACAGUCUCUGACUCUUCUUCCGGCUGCGCCACAUAGCCGUCAAGUACUCGGGACUUCUAAACAACAAAAAUGGUGUCAGCAACAAGAAUCACAAGUCAACAGGAAACAAGUCAAGAAGGAAAUACUUACCACCUCUAGCUCGUACCAGGAUUCAUACUGGCGAAGGGCCGCAGGGAUUACUGGUACUCCCUGAUAAUUCCUGAAGAACUUCGUUAGCAGCGCCUCCACAUCAUCGUCAGAUAUGUCCUCCUCAGACAUACGCGAUGGAUCUUUCAGAGCUUUGUACUCACUUCACGGGUGAGCGUGUUUUUGAAGUGGCUGGACCCUUCUUUUCAGAAAGCUGGCUGCCACAUUGAUCCCAGUCAGACCAAGUGCUUUCAACUCGGUGAUCUGCUGCAUCUGAAGAUCAAGCUUCGGGGUAUCUUCAGGCUCGCUUAUCCAGUUUUUAGCAUGCUUGGGCGCGUGACCAGUCACCACAGGCAAGCGAGGAUCAUGGUUCCUGAUGUAGAACCAUCUUUUCUUCCAAUCCCCAUGGGAGUCGGUCAGAUUGUACUCAAUGUAUGCACUUGAGUUCCUAAGUUGGAACCCGACGCCUCCAAAGACCUCCGUCCGCUGGGCACUCGGUUGAGGCUUGCAACGGAACAGUUUCCUGAAUAGCUCAAGACUUGGAGGUACUCCCAGGAAAACUUCGCACAGAUGAACAAAGAUAGCCAUGUGCAGUACUCCAUUGGGAUUCAAGUGGACGAGCUGAAGAUUAUAGUACUCGAGAAUACCUCUGAAGAAGUCGGAGGUAGGCACGGCCAGUCCCCUUUCCACGAAGUGAGCAAGCAUCACCGUUUCCACCGGAUGUUCUUCAAACUGCCACGCAUUGGGGAAUGCGGGGUGCCACUGCACGAUUUCCUUCGGUUGAAGGAGCUUGGCAUCGACAAGCGCUUGGACUCCCUCUUCCUUCAUCACUGAGUGUUGCCAAGUUGCCCCAGGCAGCGGCGGAGCUGUCUGGUUCGUCGGCCCCACCUUCGGUGCCGGCAGCACCAACUCCUUCCCCUUCUUGGAUUUAACCUUGCUCGUCGCCAGAGCCUUGCCUUGGAUCUUCUCGGGUUUCUUGCCCAUCUUCUUGGAGCGCAUUCGAUGGAUUCAACUUCGCCUUAGGGAAGAGGCUUCCACUCGGAUCUAACUCAAAAAGCGGCAGUGGCAGAGGCGGCAGCACUGGCGGCAGUGACACAGCGAGCGAAAGCACAGAGGAGGAAGACGAAACAGAUCUAAUGCACGGCGUCACGGCAACUGCAAAAGGGGGCUUUCCAGAUUUAUUUCCACCGGCUCCGGAUUCGACGCGUUUCGUUGCGCAACGAACAGAUUAAAAUUGCGUAUAAACAUCCAACGGUUACUACAUUCAAUGGAUUGUUGACCACUUCAACGACAGGAAUCGCCUAAGUGCUCGGGGGCUACGGGUACCGUACCCGUUGGUCAGUUUUUUCUUUUUCAAAGAUCUCCGAGGGUAAAAUGGGCAAAAGAUGGUUUGACCCUAAGCCUGAGUCUUCGACUCAACCUAAGGCUCGGGGGCUACUCCAUAUGGAGUGCGAUUGACAUCGCACUACCAUAUAAAAACUACUCGGGAUGGAGACAAAUCGAAGCUGAAGAGAGUACGUUCCAGCCACGCGACAGUCCGCAAAACUACCCGGGUAGUGCCUGCAGCGCCCAAGACUAUGGCGCACGACUACAAAGUACUCGGGGGCUUGUCGGGACUACUCCCCGGACCCACGAGUAGGCCUUGGGCAGCCCACUAUGGGACGUACUCGGACGUGAUCAGAACAAGGAUGGGCGUAUCCUACUCGGACUAGUCUUGUAUGUUCAUGGAAAACUACUCGGACGAUACCGAGUAGAACUCUGUAAUAGUACCCGACUAGGACUCAGACUUGUAACCCUGCCUUCCCGGGUAUAUAAGGCCGGGCAGGGACCUCCCUCAAAACAGAUCCUUCAGGACCAGAACACACAUCAAUACAAACCAACACACAGGACGUAGGGUAUUACGCGAUCUAGCGGCCCGAACGUGUCUAAAUCGUGUUCCUUGCUUCACCAUUGAUUCCUUGAUUCUCGACGACCCUUACCGCAUAAAAGACCACCUAGGGUACCCCUAGGCGGGUUGCCGGUCUAAAACACCGACAGCGUCCCUGGGUCCGGGUAGUCUUAUUCCCAAUCAUUCAAUUUGCUAAUCGAAAAGUCGUUACGUACAACCUGGACAGUCGUAUAUAGUUGGUGAUCAGGGUACUCUCCUGUAUGAUCCGGAUCGCCGCAAUUCUCGGUUAUGAAUGCACUUGAUCACUGUUGAGCAUCGUAGCAUAAAUUCAUGAAUGCUAUAUCUUUCUACUAAUGUUUGGUGUAUGACUUAAUACCUUGUUGUUUGCAAAUAGUCUUUUAUCAUCACCUAGAAUGGUUAGGUAAUGCCUUAAUCCAAAUAAAAGAUAAAGCUAAGGUCUCACUUUUAGUAAGCUUUUUGGCAAAAAUGUAUCAGCCAAGUACACCGAAAAAGCUAUCAUGUACUUCCAAGAAAAACUAUUAUAUUGGUUAGUCGGGUAAGCCUUGUUGAGUACCUUGUACUCAGGGUUAUCCCUUGUGUCUAUUUUCAGAAGCACCGCAGGAGUCCACCGAGGAGGAAGCCCCGAAACCCUAGGGUGUUGUUAUGAGUCUCACAAUACCCUUAGAAGAAGUCUUAUAAUGCUCAUCUCCACCCGAACCGUUUAUGUUUUAAAUCCUAGAACUCUGUCUAACACUGCACUGUUAAAUUUGUUUCAAACUAUGUCUUGUAUUAACUCGUACCUCGUGUAUGUAUGUAAAAAUGUAAUAUUUGUUGAUGCUAUCCCAUCGCGGAUACAAUCCUGAUGUAUGGCUAUGAGACAUGACGUGGAUCUUUCGAGGAGUCCUAGGGACACUCGACGGACGACCGAACUUAUACUAUUUUAAGUGCGUUUCGGAUAAUUGCUGCAUCGGCAGCGAUUAGGCGCAUUUAAACCAGUUUAAGUUGGACGGUUCCGCCACAGCAGUUCAGGCUCAGGAGCACAAUACUCCACUCGCGGCUAUCGCCUCCAUCAACCUUUUAACAACGUUGAUGCAGCUCACCUCGUGCAGCGCGGCAACGGACUGAUCGCACAACUCGCGGAGCAAGCUUACAAGUUACUCGACAAAGGAUCACCAAUUCCAUCUGUUCCUCGCAUCACAGCUCACCAAGAAGGUAGAAGGGGAGCUGCAGAUAACAACAAUGCCCCAAAAAAUGGCAAUGAAGUUAACCAACCUCGGUAGCACAGCCAAGGUCCAAGCAAGCACAAAUCCCAAGCUCGCCAUAAGGAUGUUGGCGAGGUCAGCUGCACCAACUCGGUUAGAAGCAUCCGCCCUACUCGAAAGAACCACGAAGUGUCCAACUUUAGUGAUCUACGAGAAAUUCUCAACAGUCGGAGCGAACGAGAAGUCGACAACGACAACCACUUUCCCGCUUUCACAAACCGGGUAAUGAAAACAAAAUUACCCGAGAAGUUCAAGCCAACCGAAAUCACCAAGUAUGAUGGCAAACAAGACCCAAUUCAAUGGCUACGAUGCUACUCGCUAGCCGUGCAAGGAGCCGGGGGCAAUAACGAUACCAAAGUUAUUCACUUUCCCAUAUGCAUGGAACCCGCACCACUGACCUAGUUUGAGUCACUCAAACCCAAGUCUAUUGACUCCUGGGGAGACUUGACAAAGGCUUUCACCAACAACUUCGCCGGCUCCAUGGCUAGACCAGGCAACAAGAUUGACUUAAGUCAAAUUAAGCAAAAAGAAGGCGAGACCUGACGCGACUAUCUGCGACGGUUCUUCGAAAAGAAGGCUAUCAUAGUUGACAUCUCCGAAACAGACGUCAUCGAGUGCUUCCAGAAUGGACUCUACGAUCGAUGAACAUAUCAAGACUGUGGUCGCCGACAACCAGCUAAUGUCAAAGAACUCAAAGUCAUGGUGCAACAGUGGGCGGAUGAAGAAGACAAAGAGUGAGAACGGUUCGGCUCCCACCACAACCGUGGACGCGACAACAACUACAACAAUGACCAAGAUAGAACUCGGCAUAAUGAUACUCGAAACAAUUAUUCGAGUAAUCACAAUCGCAAAAGGACGCCCGACAACACUGUUGCUGUCAUGACCAACUCCGGGACAAAGGGACCUCGUAAAAACGUUGAAGGACCAACCUUCACUGAAUUACUCAAAAAGCAGUGCCCAUGGCACCCGACUAGCAAGCACUCGGCCAUAGACUGCUACAGCAUGCGCCGAGUCAUGCAAGACUUACCCGCACCGCCACCUCCUGAAGAGUACACCAAGAAAAAAGAUAAGGGCAAGAACAAAGCCCGCAACAACGAAGACGAAGAAGGCGACUUCCAGACCGCCUCAAAAACUGGCAACAUCAUCUUCGGCGGUAUCCCAGGCACCGCAUCCAAGCGAGCCAACAAACUCGUACUCAGGGAGAUCAUGGCCAUCGAACCAACAGAUCCAACACCGUUGAAAUGGUCAGAAGUGCCUAUUUCUUUCAGUAGAAAAGAUCAAUGGACCAAGUUCUCAGAACCAGGCCAUUUCCCACUAGUCCUAGAUCCGGUUGUGGCAGGUUCCAAGUUAACCAAAGUACUCAUCGAUGGCGGAAGCGGACUCAACGUUAUUUUUGCCAAGAUAUUGAGGAAGAUGUGCCUUGACGUUACUGAAAUGCUUGCUCCAACAAAUUCACCUUUCUACGGCAUCGUCCCUGGAAAUUCGGCUAUACCACUAGGACAAGUUGUCCUUCCAGUCACCUUCGGAACUAAAGAACAUUACCGUACCGAGUACAUCAGAUUCGAAGUUGCCGACUUCGAGACAUCUUACCAUCCUAUACUCGGAAGGCCAGCACUCGCCAAAUUUAUGGCCAUACCACAUUAUGUUUACCUGGUACUCAAAAUGCUAGGCCCCAAGGGAGAACUCACGCUGCGAGGAGAUCUACGGCGAUCCUACGAAUGCGACACCGAAGUCGUGGAAAUUGCUGCGACUACUCAAGCACCUAGUCCCAUGCAACAAGUCUUCACAGCUUCAAAGAAUCUCCAUCCAACCGAACUAGAGAUCCCGGAAAACAAGUCAGGGUCCACAAAGGUGAAACCCACCAGUGAGCAAGACUUCAAAUCAGUUGACCUCCAGACGGGUGACCCUUCCAAAACUGCCCUGAUCGGAACAGGGCUAGAUCCUAAAUAGGAAUUCGCGCUCGUCAGCUUCCUUCGGGCUAACCAAGAUAUCUUCGCUUGGAAACCGGCUGACAUGCUAGGUGUGCCCAAGGAGCUGAUUGAGCAUUCUCUCAAUGUCGAUCCCAAAGCUACUCCAAAACGGCAACGACUGCACCGGUUCGCUCAAGAUAGACGAGAAGCAAUCAAAAAAGAGUUAGCCAAGCUACUCGCGGUAGGGUUCAUCAAAGAAGUCUUUCAUCCUGACUGGCUCGCCAAUCCCGUGCUUGUUCGUAAGAAAAAUAACGAGUGGAGAAUGUGCGUCGACUAUACCGACCUCAAGAAACACUGCCCAAAAGACACUUUCGGGCUACCCAGGAUCGAUCAGGUGGUUGACUCCACCGCUGGGUGCGCUUUACUAUACUUCCUUGACUGCUACUCCGGUUAUCACCAGAUUAGCCUCAAAGAAGAAGAUCAAGCCAAAACAGCGUUCAUCACACCUUUCGGAGCUUUCUGCUACAAAACAAUGUCCUUCGGACUAAAGAAAUAAGGGGCAACUUAUCAAAGGGCCAUACAGAUGUGCUUCGAAAAGCAACUUUACCGCAAUGUUGAAGCUUAUGUCGACGACAUCAUCAUCAAAAUAAGAAACCAGGAGGAACUCAUUGCUGACUUGGAGGAAACUUUCUCUAGUCUACGCGCUUUCCGAUGGAAACUCAAUCCUACUAAGUGUGUCUUUGGAGUACCUUCCGGCAAACUACUCGGGUUCAUCAUCAGCCAUCGUGGCAUUGAGGCCAACCCGGAAAAAAUAUUUGCCAUCACAAACAUGCAGGCACCAGCUAGCAUUAAGGAUGUGCAGAAACUCACAGGCUGCAUGGCCGCUCUCAACCGGUUCAUCUCGAGACUUGGAGAACGGGGACUACCCUUCUUCAAGCUUCUCAAACGCUAGGACAAGUUCAAAUGGACGGAAGAGGCAGAAAAGGCACUAACACAACUCAAAGACUUCCUGUCAAAGCCUCCUGUACUCACCGCUCCUUCUACGAACGAAGACUUGCUCCUAUACAUUUCAGCUACUACUCAUAUCAUCAGCACGGCAAUAGUAGUCGAACGGUCUGAACCGGGCCACGCUUACAAGGUCCAACGACCUGUCUACUUCGUCAGCGAAGUACUCUCGGACUCCAAAACUCGGUAUUCACCGAUACAAAAGCUCUUAUACGCAAUUUUGCUCACCUUCCGAAAACUGCGUCAUUACUUCAAAGAGCACAACAUCACGGUCAUCUCCGACUUCCCGCUCGAUGAAAUCCUCCACAACAGAGAUGCCACGGGUAGAAUCUCCAAAUGGGCAAUUGAACUCGGAGCUCUCACCUUGGACUUUAAACCAAGGACAGCUAUCAAAUCCCAAGCUUUGGUCGACUUCAUAGCUGAAUGGACUGAAAAUCAAGUGCCAACACCAGUCGAACGGCCAGAACAUUGGGGUAAUGUACUUUGACGGAUCCCUCAAACUUGAAGGAGCCGGCGCAGGCGUAUUGCUCAUCUCCCCCAGGGGAGACCAACUCAAGUACGUGCUGCAAAUAUUCUGGGAAGCAUCUAAUAACGAAGCCGAGUACGAAGCACUGCUACACGGCCUUCGUCUUGCAAUCUUCCUCGGCAUCAAUCGACUACUGGUGUACGGCGACUCUCUAGUCGUUAUAAACCAGGUCAAUGACGAGUGGGACCGGAAUAAGGACAACAUGGACGCUUACUGCAAAGAAGUCCGCAAACUGGAAAACAAGUUCUCAGGCUUGGAAUUUCAUCACAUCGUCCGCGACAACAACGUUGCCGCCAACGUCUUAUCUAAAAUGGGCUACACUCGUGCAGAGGUUCCAGCAGGAAUUUUCGUACACGAACUGCGCAUGCCAUCCAUAUCUGACCAAGUCACACCACCAGCAAUCCCGACUGCUGACGUCUCUCAUGAAGUCAUGAUGAUAGAAGUUGACUGGAGGACACCCUUCAUCGACUACAUCAAAGAUCACCAGCUACCAUCCGACAAAAAUAAAGCUGAGCAAAUCUCACGGCGAGUAAAAAAUUACGUUCUAGUCGGAGACAGGCUCUACAGGAAAGGUGCAUCGUCUGGAGUACUCAUGAAGUGCGUCACCAGAGAAGACGGCCAAGAAAUCCUAGAGGAAAUUCACAGAGGAAUCUGUGGCAACCACCCCUCCUCGAGGACACUAGUUGGCAAGGCUUUUCGAGCAGGCUUCUACUAGCCAAUGGCUCUGGCUGACGCUAAACAACUAGUUCAGAAAUGCAAAGGUUGUCAAUUCUUCACAAAAUAGCAACAUGUACCAGCCUACAAGUAGUCAUAAUACCUCCAACAUGGCCGUUUGCCUGCUGGGGGCUGGACAUGAUAGGGCUGUUACCAACUGCGCCAGGAGGAUUCAACCGAGUACUCGUGGCAAUCGAUAAAUUCACCAAGUGGAUCAAAGUCAAACUAGUCACUUGCCCCAAGGCAGACCGGGUCCUCGACUUCUUAGAUGAAAUCGUACACCGAUACGGUUUUCUCAACAGGAUUAUCACAGACCUAGGGUCAAACUUUAAUAAUCAUGACUUUUGGGAAUAUUGUGAGAACAGCGGCAUCGACGUUCGCUAUGUCUCGGUCGCUCACCCACGAGCCAAUGGACAAGUCGAGCGUGCUAAUGGCAUGAUACUCGACGCCCUGAAGAAAAGACUACAUGACGUUGGCAACACCAAAGGUGGCAAAUGGCUCAAAGAGUUACCCAAUGCUCUGUGGAGCCUACGUACCCAACCAUGCAAGACUACGGGGCUAUCGCCCUAUUUCCUGGUAUAUGGCUCGGAAGCCAUACUACCCGCUGACAUCAUGUGGUAAUCACCAUCCGUUGAGCAAUACGACGAAGAACUGGCAACAUAAAUAAGGCGAACAGAUAUAGACAGUCUAGAAGAAACAAGAUGCGCAGCCCUAGUGCAAUCUGCCAGAUACCUUGACGGUUUAAGGCGUUACCACGACCGCAACGUCAAGGAAAGAUCUUUCAACUCGGGCGAUAUGGUCCUUAAGCGUAUCCAAGACACGUCAGGGUUGCAUAAACUCAAUUCACCAUGGGAAGGUCCUUACAUCGUAUCAAAAUUUACGGGACCUGGAUCUUACAGACUCCAAGAGCUUUCAGGAGAACAAGUACCAAACUCUUGGAAUAUAGAACAUCUUUGUCGCUAUUACCCAUAGCAGCAUCCGAGUAACUACUUCAAGGCAAUAACUCAUGAUGCCUACUCAAGCUAACUGCCCGACUACCGACUUCAAGAUAUCUCAGCUUUGACAAGAGUUAUCAACUCAACAAGGAUCACUGCACUGGUACAAAAUUCCCGUAAAGUAUCUUUACAGAACCGAAGAUACCUCAGGUUACAUACGAGUACAAGUACUCAGAAUACACAAAGACUGCAAGCAACUGCCUACUGGCAGGCUGCAUUUAAGCCUCAGGCUUUUACUAUAUCACAAGGCUACUCAGGUCUGCCGACUCCAAUGGGACGGGCCCGCUGUAACAACUCUACCUAAAUUAAGUACUUUUAACUAUAAACCAGUGAUAAAUCGAAUCCCUAAGUUAAGAAGUGAAAUGACCUUUAUAAACCUAAGAAGCUCUUUUUGGAGUUUGAAUUAAAGCUUGAAAUUUUAUAUACAAACUUAAGUUUCUGCCCAAAUAAGAGUUGUAAAACUUUUUAUUUCCAACAACUUUUGUUAAAGGCACUUUGACUUAUUCGGAGUGGAAGGAAGUCAAACAGCAACCAAAGCCGGUUUUUCUAAAGGACCCUGAACAUCUCUUAAGUCCUGGAAUUCGAGUUUUCCUUCAUCUUGCAAGCUUUCAUCUCCCGUUUCCCUAUCUAAACUCGAGUCAGAGCCUUAAUGAAAGUUGUAGUACCUCGAGUGUGUUCCAACUUUGUCACACUGUCCCAGAUCCAAAUCAGACCCGAACUUGUUCAAAAUCCCGAUCAAAGUGAGGUAAACCAGUCAACUCACCCCGGAUGCCUUAAAUCCUAAGUCUGGAAUUCCAGAUUUUUGGCUAACUUUGGCAUAAAAUAUCUUCGAAUCCUCUCACAAUCAAAACCGACACCUUAAACAAAGUUUGAAGAACGAUCAGUGUUGAACAAGUUUGUUUAAGGGAGUUUCGGAAGUUGUGUUGAAAGAUUCGGAGGAGGAUCGCUCCAAAGCUGGCCGGGCUUACUGCCUGAAAGGGGGCCUCGAUGCCCGCACGCUAGAGCACGUUCGCUCGCGCGCCGCGCGCCGCGUGGCUGUCGGCCACCAGCAGCUCGCCGGCACCCUAUCACCAGCGCGAUAGCGACAGGACGAGAGCCACGGCGCCCAACCCGCACCUGCGACAGGACGGAGCGAACGCCGGGCUAGCCAACCGCCAGUCGCGCGCGUGCCGCCUUCCGCCUGCCACGGCUCUGCUCCGCCAACCCCGUUCUGUCCUUCCGCCAGGAAAGCUGCCAUGCCCCCGACGUCCCGCGCCUCCGCCCGCUCGCCCAACCCCCAUGGUAGCCCUUCCGCGUCGCCCGCCCGACAGACCGGAAGCCCCAGACGCGCGCCGCCCAAGGCCAAUCGCCGCCGAAGACCACCCGGAGCUCCGCCUCCUCUGCCCAAUGGCGUCGCCGGCCAAUGGCCGCCUUGCCCGCGCACUUGUCGCUCCCGGCCUUAUCCUUUCCCCACCGGAGCCCCGCCUCGACCCUCCGCCCCACCAUGGCCCUAUAAAAGGGAACCCCCUCACCGGCAACGCCACCCCUUUGCCACCGCCACACCUGCGCCACCGCUUUCUCCUCUGAGCCUCAGCUUUCUUCCCGCGCCGCCGCUAAGCUACCGUGGAGCUCACCUCCUUGCGCCACCCCACACUCCGGUGACUUCGCCGCCACCCUCAAGCCGCUUCUCCCAACCCACCAGCUGCCUGUUCCUCUGCGCGGUACCAGAGAGUUUGCCAGUGAUCCACCAGAAGCUCCGCCACCGCAGGAGCACCAUCGAAGCCUCGCCGUCGCCAAGCCUUAGUGCGUACAACCUUCCGUCCAAGUCUACUCCUUCUACCCCAAGGCUUCACCGGUAGACCUGGAGGUAAGCUACUUAACCUCCCUGUCCGUCUCGCCCGACCCUUCCUUUUCGUCUCGCCCGACCCUUCCUUUUCGUCUCGCCCGACCCCUUCCUUUUCGUUUAGCCGACACCUUUGUUUCGGUUCGCCCGACCCCUUUUCCUUUUCGUCUCGCCCAACCUUCUUCCUUUCGCCUCGCCGACCCUGUCAGUUCGCCGACCUUUCUCCACCUCGUCCGAGGGCUCGGCUGUAACUUUUUCUUUGACCUGAGGGUAUCGGUGAAAUAAUUUUGGGGAUUCCUCUGUGUUGAGUCUAGGGACCUCAGUACGGUUUUCCUUAAACCUGAGGGUCAGACCCUAAGUUUCCCCCAACCCGACCCUCUCAUCCUGCUCUCCACCAACAGAAGUUGAACUCCCCCACCUUUCCUGUAGCUUUGCUACAAGUGUCCGUGUUAAAACAUGAGUGUGUUGAAAUAACCAUCUAAAAUGUUUAACCCCUGCAUUGCAUUUCCGUGUAGAGUUGAAUCUCGCCGACGGAACGUACGAGCUUCACCCGGCACUAGAAGAAGACCCCGCCAAGGAACUGCAUCCCUUCGUAGGAGAGCCUGAACCAGAGCAAGACCCCGAGACCCGCAAGCUUUUCCUGAAGGCAAGCCUCGGAGCAUAAAUUCCUAUCUUGAGUUCAUGCAAUUUUUUAUUACUUGAUUGCGCAUUUACGUUUCGAGGAGUUGUAAUGGAACCUUAGAUGCAUAAACUUAGUACCUUGUUUUUGAAUACUAGUUGCUAAGGCCGAGUAGUUGCAUUGCUUAAUAGGUUCGGUAAAAGUCGAGUGAUCUCUUGUCACUCGCGAGUUAUAGGAAUUGAAUGUUUCAGUUAUGUCGCAACUAUAAGGACGACGAACGGGGUCAGGCUUGUGUUCGAUACUUGGUGGAUUGCCCCGUCUGUCUAAAUGAAAAUGAACUAAGGUCGAAACGUGUCGACGUUCGUGAUCAAGUGUUGGAAAGUACUAAUCUCAUACCUAGUAUGGGAUGGGGAAGCCUAGUACCUGAUUGAACUGGGGCGUGGCAUACCCUCCGGCUGUCCUUGGAACGUCGUUCCCAUGGUGCAUCAUGUGGGUGCAAGUGCGGUCACAGUGCAGCAAUAGGCCAGGACUGUGGAGCAUUGCAUGCCAAAGGAAGUUGGCCCUGACACGUGCCUAAGGGAUCGAUGGGGACGGUUGACAAAUGAAGCGACCCUUCGUGGUGCGCGGAUGUCGUGAGAUUAGGUUUGCCAUGCAUGGUUAAUAAAUUUCGAAUCAAUUCGUCUGCCUCUCAUAGUUUGGGACUACUUGAUCGCUAUUCCGCACUGAGUAAAGAUGGAACAUGAAUAUGAGAUUAAGUUGAUGCUUGUUUGUACUUGCUUGGAAAUCAUGCUUGUUUAGUAUAAGUUGCUAAUCUAGACUAGAUAAAGAACGUAGAACAUGAGCUAAAAUGUUGAAAGUAAGGACUGACUUUGGACACCUUUGGCAAGAAAACCCCAGAGCCAGAAAGCCUUGCAUGUCCAGGUCUUGGUAGAGCUUUUUCACCCGGCGGGUCAGUCUUGCUGAGUACUAGUUGCUCAGCCUUGUUGUGGCUAAUCUUUUUCAGGUAAUGUCAAUAGUUUGGUUGCGGGUACCACUUGGCCGACCCAGCUUCCUCCAGGCUGGACCGUCGAGUGGGAUACUUCCUCGGAUGGCGAAGGAAGGAAUUUUUGAUGUCAUGAUCGGCUCCGUCGUGAUGUCAUGUAUCGACGUUUAGUUUCCGCUGUUUUCCUUUGACUUCGACCCAUGCAAAUUUCGAUCUGAAUUUCAAAAACUCUGAUGUAAUAAAUUGUUGAACUAUGUUGUCCUGUUGGAAUGUUGUAACCUCUGUGCUACUCACCUUCGCGUGAUCGAUGCUUCUCGAUCUUGUUUAUGUGGUUAAUCGGAUGAAAUCCGACGGUCGACCAAGUUGACUUGCUUAAGUGCAUAAUCGCGUGUCAGGCGACUUCAAUGCACUUUAGUCAGGUUAAUUUGGGCGGUUCCGCCAUACCCACACGCAAGGAAGCUGCGCAAAACGCAGCCAUAUCCAGGUCCUCUACCCAAGGCAACGCCAGGAACUCCAGCAUUGCCACUGCCUUGACAGCGGCAACGAUGAAUCCGGCACGACACACCUAGAGGGAACCAAGGCUGCUCUUUUGCUAGCUUUGCGGAGCCAAUCCAAUCUACGGCCACACCUCCACCUCUCAGAAAGCGGGAUAAAGACCGCGACACUCAUCACCCAUCACCCGUGAGUUCCAGCGCGUACUCCACUGGAUCACGAGCUGCAAGAUGAGGUGCGCGACGAAACCUCCUACGAGGAUUCUUCUAGCAUCAUGGUUAUCCCUACGAGCGCAGGAGUCUGUGGAGGGAAGGUGGCCUCAAUCUACGAGGAAUCUUCUAGCACCGGUGCACUCUUUGACGGCUCUCUACACUCAAACAGAAGCAACCGAAGGCAAUCCAUCGCUGCUCAGGAACUUGGUUUGGUUCGCUCUCCAGAUGACUCUAUUUAUAGCCGAAAGAUGCAACGACCACAUGCCCAAGAGUUACUAUGCGCCCGUGAUCAAUGAGUCUGACAACUCCUGACUCUGCCCACGUGACGGUACUUAUGCCACAAAGGACAAAAGAGUACAGUACACCCGUGCAUCCACAAAGGACAAAGGAGUACAGUACACCCGUGUUCCUCAAAAGAAGAGUACUCGACAACAUUACGACUACUCGACACUCGGUACUCGACACUCGGAACUACAAGCCAAGCGCGGCCUACGCUCACACCAUUAUCUCGGGGGCUUGGACUACUCCGACCCUCUACUCAGGGGUCAGGUGCACCCGACCCCAGGACUCAGGGUCGGGUGAAGCGGGGUUCCCCCCCCCCUCGGGGUCGGGCGAAGCAGAGCUUCCACCCUCAAAGGGGUCAGGCUUAGCCGACCCCAGGACUCAGGGUCGGGCGAGGCAGAGCUCCUCCCCCAGAGGGUCGGGCUCAGCCGACCCCGGGACUUUGGGUCGGACAAGAUAGAGUAAAACUACUCUUCGCAAGACAACAAACUUCAAGCAACAAGACCAAUGGGCAAGUAUUCAUUUAUCAAAAGUAUCGUUCAAAAUACUCGACACAAAUACAAGAGUACAUACAAAGCUCAAGGCUCUUCUAGAGACACAAACUCCGACAUCUUCGAUGCAAUAGGCUCUGCCUCCUCGAGGUACUGUGCAUAUGCUUCUUCUAUGCAGUUGCGAGCCACGCCAUCACCAGCUGCCGCCAAGUCUGCCCUCGGGUAGUAGAACUUCACAACUGCAAGGACCUGUUCGCAAACAGUUUUGCAGAGUCCCGCCACUCUACUCGGGGCAGCCUUCAAUCGCUCGACUAGUGAUUGCGGCCCUGCACCUUCUUCCACGGGGGCUAUGGCGUUCACCAAGUCUUCAGCUGCUACAGUCAGCUCCUGGAGUUCGCCUCGAAGUUUUCCCAUGGUCUGGGCAUGAUCUCUGCAUGCCACCAUGGCCAUAGCAAGCAUCACGCCAUUCUGCAUCUUCCUGUCCCGCUGAUGCUCGCAAGCAGCCUGUGCUUCCGUCAGUGUGGCCCGAAGAUGUUCAGCUUCAUCCACCACUCGAUCAUGCACAUUUCUCCCAUCGAGAACUUGGCUCCUUGCAGCCGCCUCUUGCUUCUUGAGCUCUACAAGACAACAAGUUCAACCACAGCCGACUACAGUUGGACAUACUCAGAGUAGGCAAAAUACUUACCUUAAUACUUCUUGUUCAGCGACUUGUAGCGGUUCUCCAGUUUUUGCUGCAGAACCGCGUGAUCCGUACGUUCCACAGCAAAAGACUUCGCUCCAACCUCGUGAACCCUCAGAGCUUCUGUCAGUCGGGCACACUCCUGCUCCAGUUGAUGACUUCAUUCCUGAAAAGGUCCGAGUAUGCAAUGGUGAGUUAAAAGCCUCACAACUACUCAGUUCAUGCGACAACUCAAAAAGGAAAUCUACCUGGAAGCUCCGAAAAACAUCGAUGGCCCUCUGGAACUCCAAGUCAGAGGGCAGGCUAAGCACUGGUCUUUGGGUACUCUCCGCAAGAUGGGGAAUCGUACCCAGAGUGGCACCUACAACAUUUAUCAUGUCAGCUACCUGCUAUGACUACAAUUACAAGACUACAGAAACAUACCUGGAGCAGUCGCCUCUUUGGUGUUUUCAACACCCACUACGGCCAGUGAUCCGCCAGUAGAUGUUAAUAAGGUAGCACUUCCUGAACCUGAUGCAGCGGCGGAAACCUCCACCGAACGAAUGACGUCUUGAAGCAUUGACAUAGUAGCUCCAAGAUGACCGGCGUCAACCUCGGGUACCUCCUCAACAGUUAAGUCCUCAAAAGGAGCAGAUAAUGUAGUCGAGGGAUCCGGCCCUACCCCUGUUUCUACAGGGAUAGUUUCCUCUGCAUCUCUGCACCAAAAUACGUCACUACAUGAUUUCAAGACAACUUAAAGUCAUUCAACAGACAAGAAAGCUCACCGGGUUGAACGUGGUGGGAAUCACACACGUUUCUUAUCGGCGACAGGCGGCCGAGUACUGGGCGCCGUAGGAACAGCUGUCGGCGCUAUCUUCUCGCCAAGGCCUAUGAAGCAGAAGUCAUGACUACAAUACAACUCAAACAAAUAUUUUUUAGAAGGGACAAUGCUUACCACUGGCGAUCACAUUGGACAGCAAAGUACCAGUAGCGAGUACUGGCGACACCUCCUUUGCAACGCCCGCUCCUCCGGCAGGCAGCCCCAGCACCGCUUGGUCAGCAACGGGCAGCAUGGCAGCCGACGGAGCUGAUAGCUCGGGGGCUACUCCAACUUCUGUUGACGGCACCUUCUCUGGCACCAUAUCAACAGAUACAUCACCGACGUCCGGGUCGGUUACGACUACUUCUUUAGAAGCAGCCUCAUCACCACCAAGCGUCGUGUCAACAGCCUUUAUGACAAAGAUGAAUUAGUCAUAACAAUAACAAGUUCAAAUUUAUCAGCUACAGAUAAGUUCACGACUACAUACCUUGGUACCCCGAGACUUCUCCGGGGUUGAAGUAGACUUAGCCGCAGACAUCUUGCGGACUACUCUGCGUCUCUUGACAGGAGGAGAGGGUUCAUCCUCUGACUCCUCAGUAACAGCCUCUGACUCUUCUUCCGACUGCGCCAAGUAGCCGGCAAGAACUCGAGACUACAAACAAAAAGUUGAUAUCAACAACAAAUAUCACACAAGUCAAAAAAGAACAAGUCAGGUGCAAAUACAUACCACUUCUGGCUCAUACCAGGCGUCAUACUGACGAAGGGCCGCAGGGAUUACUGGUACUCCUUGAUAGUCCCUGAAGAACUUGGCCAGCAGCGCCUCUACGUCAUCAUCGGAUAUAUCCUCAUCGGACAUACGCGAUGGAUCCUUAAGUCCUACGUACUCACUUCCCGAGUGAGCACGUUGUUGAAGCGGCUAGACCCUUCUCUUCAGAAAGCUGGCUGCCACAUUGAUUCCAGUCAGACCGAGUGCCUUCAACUCGGUAAUCUGCUGCAUCAGGUGAUCGAGCUCAGGGGUGUCUUCGGGUUCGCUCACCCAGUUUUCUGCGUGCUUGGGCGCGUGACCAGUCACCACAGGAAAGCAAGGAUUAUGGUUCCCAAUGUAGAACCAUCUCUUCUUCCACUCCCUAUGGGAGUCAGUCAAGUUGUACUCAAUGUAUGCACCCGAGUUCCUGAGUUGGAACCCGGUGCCUCCAAAGACUUCUGUUCUAUGGGCACUUGGCUGUGGCUUAUAGCGAAACGGUUUCCUAAACAACUCGAGACUUGGAGGAACUCCCAAGUACACUUCGCAGAGGUGUACAAAUAUCGCCAUAUGCAGUACACCAUUGGGGUUCAAAUGCACAAGUUGAAGCUUAUAGUAGUCGAGAAUACCUCUGAAGAAGUCGGAGGUGGGCACUGUCAACUCCCUCUCCAUAAAAUGGGCGAGCAUCACGGUCUCGCUUGGAUGUUCCUCAAAUUGCCACGCAUUUGGAAAUGCGGGGCGCCACUCAAGAAUCUCCUUCGGCUGCAGAAGCUUUGCAUCGACUAGUGCUUGCACGGCUUCCUCCAUCAUCACUGAAUGUUGCCACGUUGCCCCAGGCAGCGGCGGCGCAGUCUGGUUCAUCGGCCCCACCUUCGGCGCUGGCAGCACCAGCUCCUUCCCCUUCUUGGAUUUCGCCUUGCCCGUCGCCGGAGCCUUGCCCUGGAUCUUCUCGGAUUUUUUGCCCAUCUUCUUGGUGCGCAUUCGACGGACUGAACCUCAAGCUAGAACGGCACUCUCACUCGGAUCUCUCUCAAGGGGCAACAAUGGCGGCGGCAGCACUGGCGGCGGCGCAAGUGUGGAGCAGGCAGAUAAUCAGAUCUGAUUUCUUUGCGGCGUAAAAACAACCGAAAGGGGACUUUCCAGUUUUAUCUCCGCCAUCUCCGGUUUCCACGCGUCGGUUGUGCAACGGACAGAUUAAUUGCAGAUUAAUCACCUUAAACACUCAAUGGCUACUCUUUUCAACGGACUGCUGACCACUUCAACGACAAAGAUCACCUAAGUGCUCGGGGGCUGCGGGUACCGUACCCGUUGGUCAGUUUUUUUCUUUUUCAAAGACUUCCAAGGGUAAAAAAAAGAGACAGAAGACUGAUUUUGACCCUAAGCCUGACUCUUCGACUCAACCCAAGGCUCGGGGGCUACUCCAUAUGGAGUGCGAUUGACAUCGCACUACCAUAUAAAAUCUCGGAACAGAAGCAACUCGAAGGAAGAAAAAGAGUACCUUCCAGCCACGCGACAGUACUCGAGCACUUCGGUCCGCAAAACUCUACGACUAGCUACUCGAAUGGUGCCCGCAGUGCCCAAGACUGGGGCACACGACUACAAAGUACUCGGGGGCUUGUCGGGCAUACACCCCAGGCCCAUGAGUAGACCUUGGACGGCCCACUAAGGGACGUACUCGGACACGAUCAGAAUAAGGAUAGGCGUAUCCUACUCGGACUAGUCAAGUAUGUUUAUGAAAACUACUCGGGCCUUACCGAGUAGAACUCUGUAAUAAUACCCGACUAGGACUCAGACUUGUAACCCAGCCCUCCCGUGUAUAUAAGGGUGGGCAGGGACCCCUCUCAACAACAACUCUAGUUCAUCAAUACAAACCAACACACAGGACGUAGGGUAUUACGCGAUCUAGCGGCCCGAACCUGUCUAAAUCGUGUUCCUUGCGUCACCAUUGAUUCCUUGAUUCUCGACGAUCCUUACCGCACAAAAGACCUCCUAGGGUACCCCCUAGGCGGGUUGCCGGUCUAAAACACCGACACCAGUAGGCAGUUGCUUGAAGUUGUUGUUGAGCACAUAUGUUGUACUUUGAACACUCCGACUUCUUAAAGUGGAGUUAUCUGUUGUAAUCCUGCAAAAUUUCGUUAAUACAAAAAAUGCAUACAUGAAAUGAGAUGAGUGACUUUGAGUACUCUUUGAUUGUUUGUUGUGGCAGACUUGGGCCUUUAGAGAGUGUAUGACUUAGCUCGGUAGUCGCGAGUUGCUUUUAUAAGUCGUAAAUAGAGCGUUAAAGCUCAGAGAGUUGAGUAGCUCAAGUUGCAGCUGACUUGUAUUUACGAGGCGCUAGACUUGUUAUUACAAGUCGAAGAGAGAGAGAGAGAGCAGAAGCUCGUAGAGAUGAAUAGCUCGAGUUGCAACUGACUUGCCCUUGCAAGCCGCUAGACUUGUUGAAACAAGUUGAAGUCCGAGCGCAGAGGCUCGUAGAGCUGAAUAGCUCGAAUUGCAGCUAACCCGCCUUUGCAAGCCGCUAGUUGUAGGCAAAGACGAGUAGUCGGUAGUUGCCGAACGGAAAUUUAUUGAUCAUAAAUGAAAGGUUGAGGCCGUUGGCCUGAGUACAGUGCCGCUUAGUCUGUUGACUAUGGGUAGUAGCGACAUAGGAGCUCUAUAUUCUAGUAGUUUGCGACUUCUUCAUCGGAGAGUUGUUGUAGCCUGUAGGAUCCUGGUAUUGUGACUUUGGAUAUGACAUAAGGCCCUUCCCACGGCGAGUUGAGUUUGUGCAGCCCUGUUGUGUCGUGAAUGUGCUUGAGGACCAUGUUGCCAAUGUUGAAAAAAUGUUCUUUGACGUUGCGAUCGUGGUAACGACAUAGUCCUUCAAGGUAUCUUGCUGACUGUACAAGUGUUGCACAACGUGAUUCUUCCAAGCUGUUGAGGUCCAAACACCUUGUUUCUCUGCUGCCCCUUCGUCGUAUUGUUCAACUGUAGGGGAUCUCCACAUGACAUCAGCAUGGAGUAUGGCUUCUGACCCAUAGACGAGGAAGUAGGGUGACUACCCAGUAGGCUUGCAUGGUAGAGUACGUAGCCCCCAUAGAAUGUUCGGUAGUUCCUUGAGCCACUUGCUUCCUUUGGUGUUACCAAUGUUGUGCAGCCUUUUCUUAAGAGUUUCGAGUAGCAUGACGUUGGCGUGCUCAACCUAACCGUUGGCUCUUGGGUGAGCGACGGAGACGUAGAGAACGUCAAUUUCGCUAUUUUCCCAGUACUCCCAAAACUUGUGAUUGUUGAAAUUUGAGCCCAGGUCUGUGAUAAUUCUGUUUGGGAAUCCGUAGCAGUGUACGAUUUUGUCCAGGAAGUCAAGAACUUUCUCAGCCUUGGGACAAGUGACGGGUUUUACCUCAAUCCAUUUGGUGAACUUGUUAAUGGCGACGAGUACUCGAUUGAAUCCUCCUGGGGCUGUUGGGAGUGGACCAAUCAUGUCAAGCCCCCAGCAUGUGAAAGGCCAUGUUGGAGGUAUUGUGAUGAGUUUGUAGGUAGAGACAUGCUGUUGUUUGGCAAAAAACUGGCAGCCUUGACAUCUGCGGACUAGUUCCUCCACUAUUGUUCUUGAGGAUGCAUGAUUCCCACAAAUUCCUUUAUAUAUUUCCUCCAAGAUGUCCUUGGCGUCUUCGCGAGUAACGCACUUCAUGAGUACUCCUGAGGACGCACCUCUUCUAUAAAGUUUAUCUCCAACUAGAACAUAGCUUUUGCCUCACCGUGAGACUUGUUUUUCCUGCAUCUUGUCGGAAGGUAGCUUAUGCUUUUUAAUGUAGUCGAUGAAAGGAGUUCUCCAGUCUAGCUUGAUCAUCAUGAUCUCCCGGUCAGGUUCUGUUGGACUCUUACUGGUGGUUGCUAGAGUUGCUUGUUCCGUUAUGGAUGGCUUGCGAAGUUCAUGGACAAAGAUGCCUGUUGGUACUUUCACGUGCGUUGACCCCAUUUUGGAUAAAAUGUCGGCUGCGACGUUGUUGUCGUUGAUCACAUGGUGAAAUUCGAGGCCUUAGAACUUGUUCUCUAUCUUGCGGACUUCCUUGCAGUACGCGUCCAUGUUUUCUUUGUUGCGGUCCCACUUGUUGUUGACUUGAUUGAUGACUACUAGUGAGUCACCAUUGACCAGUAACCUGUUGGUGCCUAGUGAGACUGCUAGGCGAAGACCAUGUAGUAAUGCUUUAUACUCAGCUUCGUUGUUUGAUGCUUCCCAAAAGAUCUGGAGAACAUAUUUGAGUUGCUCGCCUUUUGGGGAUAUUAAGGGUACUCCUGCACUGGUUCCUUCGAGUUUGAGUGAUCCGUCGGAGUACAUGAUCCAAUGUUCAGGGCGUUUUACCGGUGUAGGCAAUUCAUUUUCCCUCCACUCAGCCAUGAAGUCGACUAGUGCUUGGGACUUAAUUGUUGUUCUGGGUUUGAACCCCAAGGACAAUGCUCCGAGUUCCACUUCACAUUUUGAUAUUCUUCCUGUGGCAUCCUAAUUGUGGAGGAUCGGGAAGUCAGUAAUGAUGACUAUGUUGUGUUCCUGGAAAUAAUAUCGCAUUUCCGUGAAGUGAGUAGUAUGGCAUAGAGUAGCUUUUGAAGCGGUGGGUACCGUGCCUUGGAGUCUGAGAGUACUUCGCUGACGAAUUAUACGGGUUCUAGACUUUGUAGACGUGGCCUGGUUCAGACCUUUCGACUACUAUUGUUGUGCUGACAACAUGAGUGGUUGCAGCGAUGUACAAGAGCAAGUCUUUGUUUGGUGUUGGAGCUGUGAGGAUCGGUGGCUUUGACAUGAAGUCUUUUAGCUGUAAUAGACCCUUAUCCGCCUCCUCUGUCUAUUGAAACUUGUCUUGUCGCUUGAGUAGUUUGAAGAAGGGUAGGCCCCCUGCUCCAAGUCUUGAGAUGAAUUUGUUGAGGGCUGCCAUGCAGCCUGUAAGCUUCUACCCAUCUUUUAUGCCGGAUGGGGCCUGCAUAUUAUUGAUGGCAGAGAUUUUCUUAGGGUUUGCCUCGAUGCCUCGAUGGCUGAUGAUGAACCCGAGUAGUUUCCCCGAUGGUACGCCGAAAACACAUUUGGUAGGAUUGAGUUUCCAUCGGAACGCUCGCAAGCUUGUGAAAGUUUCUUCUAAAUCUGCGAUCAGAUCGUCUGGAUUCCUAGAUUCCUAGUUUUUGACUAGUACAUCAUCCACGUAGGCUUCUACGUUGCAGUGUAGUUGUUUCUCAAAGCACAUUUGAAUAACGCGUUGAUAAGUCGCUCCUGCGUUUUUCAGCCCAAAAGACAUUGUCUUGUAGCAGAAAGCACCGAAAGGGGUGAUGAACGCGGUCUUGGCUUGAUCUUUUUCCUUGAGUGCUAUCUGGUGAUAUCCCGAGUAGCAAUCAAGGAAACAGAGUAGUGCGCAUCCAGCUGUGGAGUCAACUACUUGAUCAAUUUUGGGAGCCCAAAGGGAUCUUUGGGGCAAUGCUUGUUAAGGUCUGUGUAGUCGACACACAUCCUCCACUCGUUGUUGUUCUUCUUUCGAACUAAAACUGGGUUAGCUAGCCAAUCAGGGUGGAAGACUUCUUUUAUGAAACCUACCGCGAGUAGUUUGGCUAGCUCUUUCUUGAUCGCAUCUCAUUUUGGGGUAGCUUUAGGAUCAACAUUAAGUGAGUGCUCGAUCAAUUCCUUGGGCACACCUGGCAUGUCAGCUGAUUUCCACACGAAAACAUCUUGGUUUGCCCGAAGGAAACUGAUGAGCGCGCUUUCCUAUUUAGGGUCUAGCCGAUUAGGGCUGUUUUGGAUGAGUCUCCAUUCUCAAGGUCAAUGGCUUUGAAAUUAUUAUCGUUUGCUAGCUUGACUUUAGUGGCUCCCGACUUGUUCUCCAAAAUUUCAAAUUCUGCCGGGGUGAGCUUCUUCAAAGCAGUGAAGACUUGUUGCAUGGAGCUGGGUACUUGAGUAGUCGCGGCUAUCUCAACAGCUUCCGUGUCGCAUUGAUAGGAUCAUCUCAGGUCUCCACGAAGAGACAGUUCUCCUUUUGGUCCAGGCAUCUUCAGUAGUAGGUACACGUAGUGUGGGAUGGCCAUGAACUUGGCUAGGGCUAGUCUACCGAGGAUGGCGUGAUACAAAGUCUCAAAGUCAACCACCUCAAAUUUGAUGUACUCUGUGCGGUAAUGCUCUUUGGUACCGAAAGUGACCGGUAGGACGACUUGUCCUAGUGAAAUAGUUGCGUUGCUUGGGAAGAUUCCAUAGAAGGGAGAAUCCGUUGGGGGUGAGCAUCUCAGUGAUGUCGAGGCCCAUCUUGCUUAGAGUCUUGGUGAAAAUGACGUUGAGUCCACUGCCGCCAUCGAUGAGUACCUUGGUUAGUCUUGAGCCUACGACAACUGGGUCUAGUACCAGAGGGAAAUGUCCUGGUUCUGAGAAGUUGGUCCAUUGAUCCUUUCUGCUAAAGGUAAUGGGUACCUCAGACCAUUUGAGAGGUGUGGGGGUGGCUGGUUCGAUAGCCAUGAUUUCUCUGAGUACUAAUUUGUUGGAUCACUUGGAGGUAGUGCCUGGAAUUCCACUAAAAAUGACGUUGACAGUUUUAGAUGCUGUCUGGAACUUGUCUUCGCCAUCUUCAGUUUCAUCCAUCUUGCCCUUGCUUUUGUCAUUAUUGUUGUUAUUGCUAUUUUUGUUGACGGGAGAUUCUAGCAACUCUUGCAUUACUCUGCGAAGGUUGUAGUAGUCUAUUGCAGCAUGCUUGCUGCGCGGGUGUAAUAGGCAUUGUUUCUUGAGUAGUUCGUUGAAUGAAGGGCCAUCAUUUCAUUUGUUUGGUCCUUUCUUGCUUGAGUUUGACAUUGCGGCAACAAGAUUGUCUGGUUUGCGCUUGCGAUUCUGAUUGCCUGAGUAGUUGUUUCAGUAAUCGCCAUUGCUUUUUCUAUCUUGUUCUUGGCUGUUACCUUGGUUGUUGUUGUUGUCACGCCCGCGAUUGCGGUGUGAGUUGAACCUUUCGUGUUCCUUAUCUUCUUCGUUUGCCUAUGACUGAGCCAUGAUUUUGAGUUCUUUGACAUCUGCUGGACGACGUUUGCCAAAGUCUUGGAACAUGCGAUGGUCCCAGAGGCCAUUUUGAAAAUAUUCUAUCACGUCUACCUCUGAGAUGUCAACAAUUGUAGCCUUUUUGUCAAAAAAAUGGCGUAGGUAGCUGCAUAGGGAUUCAUCCUUUUGCUGCUUAACUUGAGCCAAGUCAAUUCUGUUGCUAGGGCGCUGCAUAGUUCCUGCGAAGUUGCUUGUAAAAGCUUUCUUUAGAUCAGACCAUGAAUCGAUGGAGUCAGGCUUCAAAGAUUCGAGCCAAGUUAGUGGUGCGGGUUCCAUGCAUACAGGAAAGUGGAUGACCUUUGUAUCGUCGCUUCCGCCUACAGCUUGGACUACUAGUGAGUAGCAGCGGAGCCACUGAACUAGGUCGUGUUUGCCAUCAUAUUUGGUGAUGCCCAUUGGUUUGAAUUUCUCUAGUAGAGUAGUCUUCAUGAUUCGUCUUGUGAAAGCGGGGUAGUGAUCAUUGUCAUCACCCUCAACUUCACAUUCAUAGCGGCGAUUGUUGAUUAUAUCUCGAGCAUCAUGGUUGUGGUUUAGGCUUUCCCUAAGAUUGCUGAUGUGCGAGGGUUCUGGAUUAGCUUUGCGGUGACGUGGGCCUUCCGCGGAGGUUGAACGACUACCUUCGGCUACAUCUCUAUUUCAUCUAGGAGCUUCGUGUGUGUCUCUGCUUUGCCUCGGUCCUUCGAGUAUGCCCCUAUGUUGUCUUGGUUCUUCGUGCGAUUGGUUUGAGUGUCUCGCAUGGUCUCUGCUAUUGCCAUGCCGACUUGGGUUGAGGGGCAUGGAUGGGAUUGGUGUUUCCUUGUUGAGGAGUUUGUAUGCGUGUUCUGCCAAGUAUGACAGGAGAUCGUUGUACUUGUCCUGAGGCAUUGAACGGGCGAUAAGGUCGAUAGAGGCAAUAGUGGCGAGUGGCGUGUUGUGUUCUCGUGUUUGUACUGCUUCGAGUGCUCUGUCGAGGUUCACGAUGGAAAGUCUCGCAGUGAGUAGUCGAUGACGAUCUACUCUCUGAGCGUUUCUUGCCUUUCUUUGAGUUCUCUGGCUGCUAGUUUCGCCCUCCGGUGCGUCAGCUAAUAAUUCAUCUUAGGAGACUUCUUCGACUUGGCGUUCCCGACAAGGAGUUCUCUGGUGUUGGCGUUGAUCGUUGGUUCCUAUUCCAUCAGCUGGUGAAACAACAACAAAGAAUUCUCUAUCCAGAGAGUAGCUUCUAGAGCUAGAUGUGAUGACCUCCAUGGAGCCAUCUUCUUCGCGGAUCGGCGAGAGUGGAGUACCCUCUUGGUAUGGGAGGAUGUCCAAGUGUGCAACGAGGCAUGACUUGUUGUCCUAGGCAAGGAAGGAUGGCUUCAUGCCCGACCAGUAGACGAAUCUGCCUUGCGGUGUGGAUGUGAUUACCAGGCCUAGCUGCAGAUCUGAUAAGGGGAGUUCUUCAAGACAGUUGGAGUCGUAGUCAUGGUCUUCAAUUGAUUCCAGUCCGGAUUGGACUUUGGAUAGAGCUUUUUGAUGAACUGUGACCGCAUUUUGGAGUCCGAGCGGGAAUCGACUUGGAAUUGUAUCCGGUCCACACGAUGUCUGAGUUGCCUGCUCGUGCGGACUAGUCCGAGUUGUGGUUGAGUCCGAGUUGUGAUUGAACCCGAUGUUGUUCGGAUCGAAAAAUUUGAAUUUCUUAAUGCAAUCUUCCGCCUCACGACGAGAGUUUCCGUCGAGAUGUUUCUUCUUCGAUUCUUCGAUGAUGCAGCGUUGGAAACCUACAAAGCCAUCAACGAUGCUGAGCCAGGAGUCGAAAACGAACAUUGCGUCCGCUUCAAACGCGAACGCAGGCUUGAUGAUGACUAGAGCCAUCUAUCUUGCGCGGAGAAUUUUGGCAACUUUCCCUACCUGGUGCGCCAGCUGUCGGUGUUUUAACUCGACAACCUAUCAAGGGAGUACCCGAGAUAGUGUUUUGGUUGGUGGGUGACGCUGAAAUCAAGGAGUCGAUGGUGACGUAGGGACACGAUUUAGAUAGGUUCGGACUGCUAGAUCGCGUAACACCCUACAUCCUGUAUGUUUGCUUGUAAUCGAUUGAACUUUUUUGAGGGGGUCCCUGCCCACCCUUAUAUAUUGAGGGACCAGGGUUACAGGGCAGUCUUUGGUACAAAGAGUACUAGUCGGACAUGACUACAGAGUCCUACUGUAACUCAACAGAGUAAUUUUCUUGUAUUCUGACUAGUCCUUCACGAGUCCAUGUAGUCUACAUUGCCCUGUAGCGUAGUCUUCAUGUCCUGAUACGUCUUGAGUACGUCCCCUUGAGUGGGUCCGUACAGACCUUCUGGUGGGCCCAGGGAUGUAUGGUCGACAGGGUCAUGAUAUUAAAGAAGGAAGGUGGAAAGACCAUCUCAAAGCUGACAAGGCAUUGCACUACAUCAUUCUGCAGCUUUAGUAGAUUGUUUGGAUGGAUUGUCUUCUGAGAAAUCAUGAUGAGGAAUGCACAUAGCUUCACGAUUGUCAUUCUCACAUUCUCUGGUAGAAAAUCCCUCAGUGCAAUAGACAACAAUUGUGUCAUCAGGACAUGACAGUCACGGACCUUUAGGUUUAGGAAUUUCUUCUCUUUAAAAUUUAUUAUUACAUGUAUAUUCGAAGAGUAGCCCGAUGAGACCUUGAUACUAUUCAAGCACUCAAACAUGCUUUCCUUCUCUUCCUUGUUAAGAGUGUUGUCGGGGGGAAAUAUUAACGACUUUGUUAUUCUCCUUAUUCGACGGUCGUAAGUGUAGGAAUACGAGGUAGGCUACACUAGCGCAAUUCAAAAAUUCUACCGCGUAUAACCAGGAAGAACUGCCGUAUAAGGAUCACGGGAUUACCACUCGACGCACUACUGGUGCGGAAGAUGUAGAUAUGCGUCGAUGCAGUGAAGACGAUCACGUAGUCGUACGUAGUCGAUCAACGUAGUCGUACGUACGUAGUCGAUCACAUCCAGCAGCUUCUCAGCAGCUCGUCCACGUGCAACAAGAUCGCCUCCGGUGCCGCGGCUCGUCGUCGGCUCGUCGUGGCUCGUCGGCGGCUCGUCGGUGGCUCGUCCAAGUGCUGCAGGCGCAACACCUCCAAGGUAUCCGCACGUGCAGGGAGGAAGCGUCACAAGCCGGACUGCUAGAUCCGCGAGUUGCAACAGGCGAGGGCGUGGGAGGCGCGGCAGGUGUGUUUCGCCAAAAGGUGUAAACCCUAGGGCGCCCCUACCCCUCUUUUAUAGAGGUUCCUAACGGGCCUCUGGGUCCGAGGCCCAUUAGUACUUCUAAACCUAAUCCAACUCGGAUGAGAUCCGAAUUGGGCUUCCAGCCCCUUAAGUGUGUGACCCUAUGGGUUCGGAUACGUAUAGACAUGGCCCGAGUACCCCUACUCGGCCCAAUAGUCGGUAGCGGCCUCUAGCAAGACGUGCCAACUCCUAUACGCACACAAAGAUCAUAUCAGACGAACCAUCACAACAUAAUAUACAUGCUAUUCCCUUUGCCUCACGAUAUUUGGUCUAGCUUCAAGCCGACCGCUCUUUCUCGAUCCUGUGAUUCGGAAUCCCUUUGUAGGUUAACUCUUAACCAUACGUAGCAUGGCCAUGCAUUUUCGGAUCUGAUCACUCGAGGGGCCCAGAGAUAUCACUCUCAAUCAGAGAGGGGCAAAUCCCAUCUUGAUUGGCCAUGUCUCAUAGCAUGCUUCUUGACAAACCCGAAAGCUACCUUUAUAACUACCCUGUUACGGCGUAGCGUUUGAUAGCCCCUAAGUAGGUCGAUCCACAUCUAGAAUCCAUGCAACAAUCUCAGGUCUAAGGACAAAGCGUAUAUGUUGUUUAAAGAGAGAACUACUUCUCGUGUUGGGUAAGUCCUAGCACAUGUCUCCACAUGUGUCCACAUUAUUAGUUCAACAUCUCCAUGUCCAUGACUUGUGAAACAUAGUCAUCAACUAAUACAUGUGCUAGUCUAAUAUUCAUGUGUGUCCUCACAUGAACUCCGACUAGGGACAACUUUAGAAUAACCAUACAAGUAAAGAGUUUCACAUACAAUUCACAUAAUUGCAAAUCAAUUCAAGUAGCCUUCAAUGGAUAUUCAAUGAACACAAUAUACAAAUCAUGGAUACAAAUGGAAUAUCAUCAUCUCUAUGAUUGCCUCUAGGGCAUACCUCCAACAGUCUCCCACUUGCACUAGAGUCAAUCUAGAAGGUACCUAAUACCCAUAGCUCUUACAUGUGCAUCAUGCUUAGCCUGCGGGAGUGGUUUUGUCAACGGAUCAGAAAUGUUCAGAUCCGUGUGUAUUUUGCAUAUCUUGAUCUCACCCCGGUUAACGAAGUCUCGAAUGAGAUGAAAUUGCCGCAUUACGUGUUUGUUCUUCUUGUGGUUCCUUGGCUCCUUUGCUUGCGCAAUUGCCCCAUUGUUGUCACAGUAGAGAUUCAAUGGGCUGGACGCAUUCGGGAACACACCAAGCUCAAUGAGGAAAUUCCUUAUCCAAACACCUUCCUUCCCGACUUCCGAAGCCGCGAUGUACUCGGCUUCUGUCGUAGAAUCGGCCACCGUCUCCUGCUUGGAACUCUUCCAACUAACAGCACCACCAUUUAGCGUGAACACAAAUCCUGAUUGUGAAUUUGAAUCAUCUCUGUCGGUUUGGAAACUAGCAUCGGUGUAACCUGUUGCAACGAGCUCCUCCUCACCUCCAUAGACGAGGAACAUAUCUUUAGUCCUUCUCAAGUACUUAAGAAUGUUUUUCACCGCUGUCCAGUGACUCUCACCUGGAUCAGAUUGGUGUUUGCUUGUCAUACUUAGUGCAUAUGAAAUAUCUGGGCGAGUACUUAUCAUUGCAUACAUGAUAGAUCCAAUAGCCGAGGCAUAUGGCACUCUACUCAUGCGAUCCCGCUCAUCAGCAGUAGAAGGACACUGAGUCUUGCUGAGAUGUAUGCCAUGUGACAUAGGCAAGAACCCUUUCUUUGCCUCUUCCAUGCUGAACCGCUUCAACACUUUGUCAAUGUAAGUAUCUUGGCUUAAACCUAUAAGCCUUCUUGAUCUAUCUCUAUAGAUCUUAAUGCCCAGAAUAUAUGCCGCUUCCCCUAAGUCCUUCAUCGAAAAACUAUUUUUCAGUGAAGUCUUUACGGACUCAAGCAUAGGAAUGUUAUUUCCAAUCAGUAAUAUGUCAUCCACAUAUAAGAUUAGAAAUACUACAGAGCUCCCACUAACCUUCUUGUAAACACAAGACUCUUCUUCGUUCUUGGUGAAGUCAAACCCUUUGACCACUUCAUCAAAACGAAUGUUCCAACUCCUAGAUGCUUGCUUCAAUCCAUAAAUGGAUCUCUGAAGCUUGCAUACCUUUCCAGCAUUUUUCGGAUCGACAAAACCCUCGGGCUGUAUCAUAUACACGUCCUCAGCUAGGUUUCCAUUCAGGAAAGCUGUCUUGACAUCCAUCUGUCAUAUCUCAUAAUCGAAAUAUGCAGCUAUAGCUAGAAUAAUCCGAAUGGACUUAAGCAUCACUACGGGCGACAAGGUCUCGUCGUAGUCAACUCCUUGAACUUGUCGAAAACCUUUUGCGACAAGUCGUGCUUUAUAGAUGUGAACAUUUCCAUCCAUGUCCUUUUUCUUCUUAUAGAUCCACUUGCACUCUAUGGCUUUAACACCAUCAGGCGGGUCAACCAAGUUCCAAACUUGAUUGUCUCUCAUGGACUCUAUUUCGGAUUGCAUGGCACUCUGCCAUUUUUCAGAGUCUGGGUCCAUCAUUGCUUCUGCAUAUGUCGCAGGCUCAUCAUUGUCCAACAAUAAUCUUUCUCGCAUUUCGCGGAGCCUUGCUGACCUUCGUGGUUGUGGUGGUGCUUCUCUUGCCAUGGGUAUCUCAACUUGUUCUGCUACGUUAGCAUCACUCAUUGAUUCUUGCCCGAUCGGCUCAUCUUGAACUUCUUCAAGAUGCACUGUCUUUCCACUCUUUUCUCCUUUGAGAAACUCUUUCUCUAGGAAAACCCCGUUCCGAGCGACAAACACUUUGCCUUCUAAUCGGUUGUAGAAAUAAUAUCCCAAAGUUUCCUUUGGAUAUCCCACGAAAAUGCACUUAUCUGACUUGGGUGUGAUCUUGUCCGACUGAAGUCGCUUGACAAACACUUCACAUCCCCAAAUCUUUAGAAAAGACAAACUAGGAACCUUUCCAGUCCAUAUCUCAUAUGGUGUCUUAACUACGGAUUUAGAUGGUACCCUAUUAAGUGUGAAAGCUGCUGUUUCUAGAGCGUAUCCCCAAAAUCACAACGGUAGGUCCGACUGGCUCAUCAUUGAUCGAGCCAUGUCUAACAAAGUUCGAUUACGUCGCUCGGACACACCGUUACUCUGAGGUGUUCCAGGCGGCGUAAGUUGUGGAACAAUUCCGCAACUCUUUAGAUGAUUGCUAAACUCGUGGCUCAAAUACUCGCCUCCACGAUCAGAUCGUAAGGCCUUAAUUUUCUUGCCACGCUGAUUUUCAACUUCAUUCUGAAAUUCCUUGAACUUUUCAAAGGUUUUAGACUUGUGCCUCAUCAAGUAGACAUAGCCAUAUCUACUAAAAUCAUCAGUGAAAGUUAUGAAGUAUUGGAAUCCUCCUCUAGCCGUCGUGCUCAUUGGUCCGCAUACAUCACUAUGUACGAGUUCCAACAAGUCUACUGCUCUCUCAGGAAAUCCUGUGAAAGGCGUCUUGGUCAUCUUGCCUAGCAAGCAAGCCUCACAUGUCUCGUAUGAUUCAAAAUCAAACAAAGUUAGAAGUCAAUCAGAAUGGAGCUUUUUCAUGCGCUUUUCACUUAUAUGACCCAAACGAUAAUGCCACAAGUAGGUAGGACUCAAAUCAUUAGGCCGAGGCCUUUUAGCACUUACAUUACAGACAGGUGAACCAUCAAGAUUUAAAACAAAUAAUCCAUUCACAAUGGGUGCAAAAGCCAUAAACAUAUUAUUCUUAGAGAUCACACAACCAUUGUUUUCACUCGCAAAUGAAUAACCAUCCUUCAUCAAGCAUGAAGGAGACAAAAUGUUUCGACUUAAACUAGGAACAAAAUAACAAUUAUUCAACUCCAUAAUAAAUCCUGACAGGAGGUGGAGUUGCAUCAUCCCGACGGUCAAUGCAGCAACUCUUGCAUUAUUGCCCACGCGGAAAUCAACUUCUCCUCUUUCCACGCUUCUACUUCUUAUCAUUCCCUGCAUCGAAUUGCAAAUAUGAGCAACCGAUCCGGUAUCAAAUACGCAAGAAUAAUAAUUGUAUCAGCGAGAAAUAUGUUGUCUAUAACAUUAACAACAAGCGUACCUGAGGUAGAAGUACUCUUACUUCCGCCAUUCUUCAAGGAAGCUAGGUACUGCUUGCAGUUUCUCUUCCAGUGACCAAGUUCAUGACAGUAAAAGCACUCUUUGUCUGGAGCAGGUCCAGGUCUAGCUUUAACCUUGGGCGGUGGGUUUGGCUUGGACGUUCCAGCCUUGCCCUUCUUCUUCCAAGAAUUGCCCUUCUUCUUAAAGCUAGGCUUGUUCUGUAUAGCCAUCACAUGGCUGGUACUAGCGCUUUUCUUGAUGUCAGCCUCUGCGGUUUUAAGCAUGCCACACAGCUCAUUCAGACCCUUCUCCGUCCCAUGCAUAUGGUAGUUCGAGAUGAAGUUCCCAUAGCUAGGCGGAAGAGACGAAAGAAUGAAAUCAGUGGCCAACUCUUGGCCCAGUGGGAAGCCUAGCUUCUCCAACCGUUGAGUGUAACCAACCAUCUUGAUUACGUGUGGUCCUACUGCUGCGCCUUCUGCUAGCUUGCUCUCAACAAAGGCCUUAGACACAUUGAACCUUUCAGUCCUGGCCUGUGUUUGGAACAUGUCUCUAAGCACCAUGAUCAUAUCGUGCGUCUCAUGGUUUGUUUCGAACUGCAUCUACAGCUCGGGUUCCAUGCAAGCAAGCAUAAGGCAGCUUACUUCAAGGUUAGCAUCACAUGCUUUCUUGUAAGCAUUCUUAGCAGCAGCGGGUGCAUUAUCAGCAGGUUCUUCUGGUAGUGGGUUGUCUAGAACAUCUUCCUUUUUCUCAGCCCUGAGAACAAUUCUCAGGUUACGGAUCCAAUCCGAGUAAUUUAUUCCAUUCAACUUGUCCUUCUCAAGGACCGAACGCAAAGCAAACGGUGUAGUGCUGCUAGGUGCCAUUAAUCUACAACAAAGUAAUGCAAAAUACACUAAGACAAACGUAUCCAUGAUAGAGCAAAUCACAUUAAACUAUUUUAAUAGAAUCUACUCCCACUAAAAUCAAUAUUCCUCUAUUGAAACUUAGUGAUUCAGGAUCCACAACUAACAAGUCCACUAGUGAGCUUUAGCAUCACCGCUAGCAAACAAGGUAGAUCGGUAAGCAACUUUUGCUAAUCAUAUCACAUAUGACUCCUGUUGUUGGGUGACAUCUCUAUGUCUCGGCGCCCAACCUUUAUGCCCCAAAGUCCUUAACCAUUAAGAUGACCUUGUUAAGCAAACCAACCCUUAUGCGUGUAAGUGUCCGACACAAACCCGUCUAGUCAAGGAAAACUAGUGGUACCCUAAUUUUAUAGACCCACCACUAACUGUACAAGACAUGGGACGGUGCAAGUUUUAGUUGGGAGGGCAUACUAACUUAAACUUUGUGAGGGAUCGUUCUACUUCUAACAUCACAGCAUGCAGAAAGUAAAACAUAAACAGAAUAGCAUUCACACAGUUGUGACACAGUAUGGCCCGUUUCUCUUAUGGUGAUCUCCAUCUCCAUAGAAUCUGUUCACCAUGGUGAUCUCCAUCUUCAUGUUCCAUGUGCGCCAUCCUUCUAGUGAUGAGUCCUCCAAGAACUUAGAACAUGCUAUUACACCUAAUAGCUAGUAAAGAAGCUAGUAAUGAAGAUUACAUAGUUUAGUUGCUUGGAUCAUCACAGAUUGGUACGCAGACCAUUAAAUACAAUAAAGUGACAACACAUAUGGCUCCUGCCGUGUUGCCGUACGCGCGACACGCAGGUCACGAAUGAGUUACACACAUGCAUCACAUACACAAGGGGGCCAUACUGAUCACAAGAUACAUACAUCCUGCAAAACAGAGUUAGGCGUUCUAACGUUCCAAACUUCAGAGGCCCGAAACUCCAUCUUAGAGGCCGAAAUUGGGAAAUCUAAUUUCGCCGAAACUGACAAAGUCAGUCGUAAUCAUGUGUAACUUUUUCUGUAGAUCAAUUUUCAUAUAAAAUUUGCCCCGAUCCGAGAUCGUACCGAAAAGUUACGGCUGAUUUACCGAAGCAUAUGCAUACGGCAAAAAUCCCGACCCCGGCAGUAGAUCUCAUCUACUAUUGCACAUCUAAUGCGCCUGGCGUAUGACCCUGGAUUUCGAUUCGACCAAUCAUAUUGAUCUUCGCUCACUGCAACUGAAUUUACGUGUAUCACUUAACUCCGAUGGCGGAAACCGACCGGUAGGAGUAUGUCGUUACACUACCAUUGCAGCAAGAGCACGAAACCAGGACAUAGAUCUAACGGAAAACUCGCAUAUCUCCAUAUGCACACACCCCGAAUCCAAAACUAAGCAGCUACGGCUCUGAUACCACUGUAGGAAUACGAGGUAGGCUACACUAGCGCAAUUCAAAAAUUCUACCGCGUAUAACCAGGAAGAACUGCCGUAUAAGGAUCACGGGAUUACCACUCGAUUCACUACUGGUGCGGAAGAUGUAGAUAUGCGUCGAUGCAGUGAAGACGAUCACGUAGUCGUACGUAGUCGAUCAACGUAGUCGUACGUACGUAGUCGAUCACGUCCAGCAGCUUCUCAGCAGCUCGUCCACGUGCAACAAGAUCGCCUCCGGUGCCGCGGCUCGUCGUCGGCUCGUCGUGGCUCGUCGGCGGCUCAUCGGCGGCUCGUCCAAGUGCUGCAGGCGCAACACCUCCAAGGUAUCCACACGUGCAGGGAGGAAGCGUCGCAAGCCGGACUGCUAGAUCCGCGAGUUGCAACAGGCGAGGGCGUGGGAGGCGCGGCAGGUGUGUUUCGCCAAAAGGUGUAAACCCUAGGGUGCCCCCACCCCUCUAUUUAUAGAGGUUCCUAACGGGCCUCUAGGUCCGAGGCCCAUUAGUACUUCUAAACCUAAUCCAACUCAGAUGAGAUCCGAAUUGGGCUUCCAGCCCCUUAAGUGUGUGACCCUAUGGGUUCGGAUACGUAUAGACAUGGCCCGAGUACCCCUACUCGGCCUAAUAGUCGGUAGCGGCCUCUAGCAAGACGUGCCAACUCCUAUACGCACACGAAGAUCAUAUCAGACGAACCAUCACAACAUAAUAUACAUGCUAUUCCCUUUGCCUCAGGAUAUUUGGUCUAGCUUCAAGCCGACCGCUCUUUCUCGAUCCUGUGAUUCGGAAUCCCUUUGUAGGUUAACUCUUAACCGUACGUAGCAUGGCCAUGCAUUUUCGGAUCCGAUCACUCGAGGGGCCCAGAGAUAUCACUCUCAAUCAGAGAGGGGCAAAUCCCAUCUUGAUUGGCCAUGUCUCAUAGCAUGCUUCUUGACAAACCCGAAAGCUACCUUUAUAACUACCCUGUUACGGCGUAGCGUUUGAUAGCCCCUAAGUAGAUCGAUCCACAUCUAGAAUCCAUGCGACAAUCUCAGGUCUAAGGACAAAGCGUAUAUGUUGUUUAAAGAGAGAACUACUUCUCGUGUUGGGUCAGUCCUAGCACAUGUCUCCACAUGUGUCCAAUUAUUAGUUCAACAUCUCCAUGUCCAUGACUUGUGAAACAUAGUCAUCAACUAAUACAUGUGCUAGUCUAAUAUUUAUGUGUGUCCUCACAUGAACUCCGACUAGGGACAACUUUAGAAUAACCAUACAAGUAAAGAGUUUCACAUACAAUUCACAUAAUUGCAAAUCAAUUCAAGUAGCCUUCAAUGGAUAUUCAAUGAACACAAUAUACAAAUCAUAGAUACAAAUGGAAUAUCAUCAUCUCUAUGAUUGCCUCUAGGGCAUACCUCCAACAGUAAGGGCCCGGGCCCACCUCCAGCAACAGUGACACGACUAGGGAAUAUUCCGCUCCGCCUCGCCCGACCACGGGCGCAAGGGGUCGGAUGCGCCCGACCCCUCACCGCAAGGUUCUGCCUCGCCCGACCCUGGGCGCAAGGGGUCGGACGUGCUCGACCCCUCGCCGCAAGGCUCCGUCUCGCCCGACCCCGGGACGCUAGGUCGGACGCAUCCAGCCCCACAGGUCAAAGCUUCGCCUCGACCGAGGACAUGCGCGGACCUACAGACGAGGACGUAGAUUUUGUGGGUCCUCACCGAUCUCGCCAUAAAUGCAGAUGGGACGCGCAUGUCCGAAAUACGGCUCUGACACACGGAGAGGCGCCCGCACUCCUCGAUGCGACCCACCGGAAUGUUAGGCAGUGCACUGCUGCCACGACUGCACCAUCCUAAGCCCCCACUGUAACAUCCGUCAUAGGGCACUCAUUGCCCAUGCUACCUGACGGAGGAGGGUGCGCCGCCCGGUUUCCUGCUCGGCUUGGCAAGAAGGGCACAUCGGUCGCGCCCCCCAGCCAGCACGCGUGGCUACAGUGGUCAGCAUCGCCCGCGACGUGCACGGCUACAGUGGCCAGUCAUCAUCAUCAACUCGCACGGCUACAGUGGUCGGUCGCCACGCACGUCUCACGUGCUCGGCUACAGUGGCCGACCGCUAGGUCAUUGAUGGGAACCCACAGCAACCACCCCUCCUCGGUGGCCAUGCUGAUAGGACACAGAAAUCAGAAGGGAAGGUGGCAACCCCGGUGGCUCGGCCCGUCUCCUUGUGCUUUGCCUUCCUUGCUUACCUUUCUAACUUUUUACUUUCCUUACGCCCGGCUCAUUUGUAACCCCUGUAUCCUCCUUGCACUAUAAAAGGAGACCAGGGGGCCCGAGGGCAAAGGGAUCCAGGGAGAGACCGAACCCCAAAUUCACCCAAGUACGAACCAACCGAACCUCUAGACGAAAAACACCCACAGAGACUUGGGACCAGCUUCCCUCUCUCGCCCGUUUGUAACCCCUACUACAAACUUGGCACGAGUAACACGAGCAGCCUCCCACACUGGAUGUAGGGCUAUUCCUGCUCGAACCAGUAUAAAUCUCGUGUCCUCUCGUGCAACCAUCCGAGCCUUACGUGCAUAGAAACAAAUUUACUUGCCGAAGUCUUGACCUGUGAUUCUUGACACCGAUAGUUGGCGUGCCAGGUAGGGGGCCUAUGCGCGUACGACGAUCAUCACCGGCUUCGGAUGGCCAACCACGACAUCGGCUUCGCUCCCGGCUCCCACAUCCGCUUUGGGAGCCUGGACUUCCUCGCCACGGGAGAGGGAAUCGAGCUGAUUCCUUUCCUCGUCCUGCCCGCUCACCCCGUCACCUCCGGCUCCGCUGCCGGAACAGUGGUGAGCGGCCAGGCGCGCACCACGGGGCCUCCUUUGGAGGAGCGGCCCUUUGGCCUACGCAACGCCGCAAUGACUUACGGUCGUCUCCUGGCACGAUCCAUGAUCGUGCCACCCGCGAACAACGAGUUCGUGGGCGUAAUGGAAACGGCCUCCGACGCUGGUUCCGACAUCGGGAGCCACCACCCCUCGUAUGAGUGCUUCAUCACGACAACCAAACUCGACGAUGAACAGGUUCUCCACCCUUUCCCCCACCAAACGCAGCUUCAGACCGUAGGGAUUGCCCCAAGCCGGCCUCAUCGCACUCGUGAUGGUGGUAAUGUGGAGAGUCGCUGGUCAUAGCACCUUGCCGAUCAGCGCCCACUCCCUCGUACCCCCAUCCUGCUCUUCCUCAUCGUCGCUGAAAGCGGCGAACUCCCCUCAUCAGUGGUGAGAUUCAGUUUCUCCAGAAGGGACGCGACACACGCCUCUUCCUUCAUCGAAUUGCGCAAUCCCGAACGCGAUGCGUUACCCCCAGAUGAGGCCAUGGCCACAGCGAGGUAGGCACCCGGGGAAAUAAGAAUGUGACCGCCGAGGCAAUCAUCGGCGCACAAAGAUUCCCAGGAUAGGGUUCCUAAGUGGCGCUCCUAACCCAAGCAGAAACAAGGGUUUAUGUGGACACUAGCGUGGAACAAGCUAACCGACAGUAUUUGCGGUGGACACCGGCAACAGAGUGUUACCGGCGGGGUGAGCGUGGACGCCGUCGACCUGGAGUCCACGGCGGAGCGAAGGAUCUCGCUGGGGAUGGCUAGAUCCAAGUCGGGAUCACGGUCUCCUGCAGUGUCACCAGGGAGAGCGCAGAGCGGAAAACUUGGAGAGUUGGUUCCAUCUCUCAACAACUCCUGCCCGUGGCGCACCUGAUAAGGCACACAAAAAUAAAUAUGGAAAGUGGACCAGGUAUGAUAGUAAAAAUGAAACAAAGGUCCGAAGCAACUUGUCGCAGCCCACGAUGAAUGAUCUGGGUGGCGUUUCUCAGCAGAGCCCCAAACGAUUCAGACCUCCCACAUUAUCUGAAUGUUAUGGUGUGGAAGGAGUAAAAAGGCUAAGGGAGAUGGAGAUGCACAGGCCUGGGGAAGAAUUACCCCAUCUCGAGAAUCUGAAUGAGGAACUAAAAUAUGUAAAUACCAACAUUCUUGUUAACAGCAAUGUGCACGUUGAAACAAACCUGCAGAAAUAGUGCUUGAAAUUGCGGAAGGAAAGAAGGGAGAGCAAGGUGGUUCGGAAGCUACCGGCCCUGGGGCUGCCGGUCAACUGACAGGCGCGGAUACUAGCGCCUGUCAGGUGCCAUGAGUAUCCUAAGUUGGAACUACCGGGGCUUGGCAAUCCCCGGACAGUUCAGGAACUGGUCUGCCUAGUGCAGACUUACAGGCCAAGUGUGGUGUUCAUCUCCGAGACCAAACAGAUUGAGUUCUUCGUGAAAGGACUGCGCAAUUGUCUGGGUCUGAAUAAUGUUUUAGUAAUGUCUGGGAAAGGAAAGGGUGGGGGUCUUGCUUUGUUUUGGGAUGACAAUGUUACAGUAGAGCUGAAAAAGCUAGAUCCUCAUUUUAUUGAUGUAAACAUUGUAUUCCCACCCUUUGCAAUAAAAUGGAGGUGCACCUUUGUCUAUGGCGAGGCUCGUGUUCAAGAUCGCCACCUUAUGUGGGAUUUGAUGAGGAAAAUUAAACCCCUCGGGAAUGGUCCUUGGCUCAUGAUAGGUGAUUUUAAUGAAACAAUGUGGCAGCAUGAACACUUUUCUACAUCUCGUAGAAAGGAAAAUCAGAUGAGGAAUUUUCGAGAAGUAUUGUCAGACUGCAACCUCCAUGAUUUGGGUUAUAAUGGGCUGCCUUGGACUUAUGACAAUAAACAACAUGGGUCUAGAAAUGUAAAGAGCAGAAUUGACAGGGCCGUUGCUUGCCGUUCAUGGUCGAAUGCUUUUCCGGAAGCGUUUUUAAAGAAUAUUGCAAGUUUUCGAUCUGACCACCUCCCUCUACACUUAAGCCUGUUCAAUUCACAGAGUUACAGAAAAAUAAAUCAAUGCCAUAGGUAUGAGGCCUACUGGGAGAGAGAACCAAGUUUAAAUGAAACAGUCAAAGAAGCCUGGGCGCGAGGUGGAGAAAAUGAGAACCAGGGCCAGAUUGCAUCAAGAUUGAAAAGUGUCAUGACAGAUCUCAAAUCUUGGAGUAAACACACCAUUGGGUCAGUACCAAAGAAGCUGGACAAAUACAGGAAAAGAUUGGAAAUCCUAUCAUCCAACAAUGACCCAAUUAGCCACAGAGAAAGGAGAAAAGUCCAUGCCGAAAUGGAGGAAUUGCUGCAGAAGGAAGAAAUGCUAUGGCGCAAACGCUCAAGAGCUCUGUGGUUAAAGGAAGGGGACAACAAUACUAGUUAUUUCCAUAGGAAGGCAUCCUGGAGAGCAAAUAAAAAUAGGAUAGUAAGCCUCCAAGACAACAAUGGUCAGUUGGUGACAGAUGAAGUGCAAAUUGGUAAACGGACAAAUGGUUGCUUUACCAACUUAUUUACAAAAGAUGACUCAGUGGUGCUUGAACUAAUCAUCGACCAGCUGCAAAUGAGAGUAAAUGAAGAUAUGAACUCACAAUUGUGCAAGGAGUUCUCAAACGAGGAAAUUAGUGAUGCGCUCUUCCAAAUAGGACCUCUAAAAGCCCCUGGACCAGAUGGCUUUCCAGCUAGUUUUUUCAAAAAAACUGGGACAUUCUAAGAGAUGAUGUGUUCAAAGGAGUACAACACUUUUUUCUCCACUAGCUGUAUGCCUGAAGGGAUAAAUGAUACAUUGAUUGUACUAAUCCCAAAAAUGAAGGAUGCCAAAGAGCUUACAGAUUAUAGACCGAUCAACCUCUGCAGUGCCAUAUACAAGGUGGUUUCAAAGUGCUUGGUCAAUAGGCUACGUCCUCUCUUACAGGAUAUUAUUUCGCCAACACAAAGCGUGUUUAUUCCAGGCCGCAUGAUCACAGAUAAUGCUGUCAUAGCUUUUGAAUGCCUCUACGUUAUACAACAAUGCAAUGAUAAAAGAGGUGGCUUCUGUGCUUAUAAACUUGAUUUGGCCAAAGCUUAUGACCGUGUCGACUGGGACUACAUAGAAAAGGCUAUGGAAAAGCUAGGUUUUGGAAGAAAGUGGACAAAUUGGGUGAUGGAGUGCAUAAGAACACUCAAGUACUCUAUCCGGCUUAAUGGCUAGCUACUGGACUCUUUCUCCCCCUCUCGUGGUCUUCCACAUGGGGACCCCUUGUCACCUUACAUUUUCCUUUUGGUUGCAGAUGGUCUGUCUACUAUAAUCAACAAGGAAAUUACAGAAGGGCGUCUGAAAGAACUUCAUAUCUCUAGGCAUGCUCCUGGUAUCUCCCACCUCUUGUUCACUGAUGAUAGUCUUCUUUUUGUGGAAGCCAAUGCAGAACAGGCGCAGAUUGUGAAGAACAUCUUGAGCACCUAUGAAAGAAGUACGGGGCAAUUAAUUAGCAACAACAAAUGCAGUGUUCUAUUUGGCUGUGACUGUUUUGAUAGUAACAUUUCUGCGGUCAGCACCUGUUGGGAAACCGAAAAUAGAAGCUUUGAAGAUAAGUAUCUUGGACUACCUGUGCCAGAAGGAAGAAUGGUCAAUGGAAAAUUUAAGAGUAUAAAAGAAAGAUUCAGCAAGAGAGUCAAUGACUGGUCAGAGAAAUACCUUUCAUGUGGGGCAAAGGAGGUUCUUGUUAAAUCAGUUCUACAGAGCCUCCCCACUUAUGCUAUGAGUGUUCUCAAAUUCUCUACAGGUCUCUGUGAUGAUCUUGAGAAAAUGGUAAGAAAUUUCUGGUAGGGUGACGAAUAUGAAAGAAGAAAGGUUCAUUGGCUUUCAUGGGACAAAUUAUCUAGAUCACAAUUGAGAGGUGGCAUAGGGUUCAGCGAUCUCAAGUUACCUAAUCAAGUUCUGCUUGCUAGGCAAGCUUGGAGACUUCUGUCCUGCCCAAACAGCUUAUGUCCAAAAGUGUUGAAAGUGAAAUAUUUUCCGUUUGGAAACCUUCUGCUUCCCAAAAAAUUCCUCGGCAGUCUGGAAAGGGAUAGAACAUGGUCUUGAUCUUUUAAAACAAGGUGUCAUUUGGAGAGUCAAUAAUGGACAUGGAAUUAAGAUUUGGAGGGAUUUUUGGAUUCCCUGAUCAGACUCCCCAAAAAUCUCAAGCAAGGCAAAAAGAUCUAGGCUUUGGAAAGUGGCGGAUCUAAUGCUCCAAAAUCAAAGAAGAUGGAAUGAACCCCUCAUGAGACAAACUUUCCUGCAUCAUGAAGCUGAAGAAAUCCUUAGUAUUAGGAUCCCAGAUACUGAAGGAGAUGAUAUUUUUGCAUGGCACUUUGAGAAAAAGGGGAUAUUUACAGUUAGAAGUGCAUACAAGCUUGCAGAAGAGUGAGAUCCUAAGAAAAAUGUGGUAGCAGUGUCUCUAGGGAUAGGAAAAUUUUUUAUGCAAUUUGGACAACACCGGUACCUCAAAAGAUAAAAGUAUUCAUGUGGAAACUUACUCUCAAUGGUCUUGCUGUACAAACUAAUAGGUAGAGACACCACUUGAUUACUGAUGCGACCUGCUCAAUAUGUGGCAUGGAAUCUGAACAUGCACACCAUGCCAUGACCUGAUGCACAAAACCUGUGGCCUUAAGACAUGCACUACAGAAUUCAUGGGACCUCCCCGGUGAUUCUUUUUUAAAUAACAUAGGACCUGAUUGGAUCCUAGUCCUACUUAAUAGUGCCAGCAAAGAGCAUCAAUGCUUUUCUGGAGGGUCUGGCAUCACAGGAAUGGUAUCGUUUUUGGGAAAGAGGAUUGAGGGAUAUGGGUACCCCACGAGUCCCCACCGAUCAGGAUACUAGUCGGACCUGAUAAGUGGGCCCGCCUGACUAAGGCGUGCAGGUCAAGGUCAUGAAGCUACUUGGAGUACACGUAAAGGCAACUAGACAGUCCAAAUCUACACGGACAUCAUGGGACGCGUUUUGUAAUCCGACUCAGGUUGUUUUCCAUGUAAAGACUGAGUAGAUUAGAUUUAAACCGACUUGUAACUCUUGGUCGCCAGACUAUAUAAGGCGACCAAGGGUGCCUCCUAGGGGCAACGGAUAACAGAACGUCAAUUGAGAUACAAGCAAUACAAUCCACGGAUAGAGGACGUAGGGUAUUACUCUCCGGAGGUCCGAACCUGUCUAAAACCCUCAUGUCUCGUUCGUGUUCUGGCGAUUACCUUCGAGUUCUUGGUCUUGCAAUCGCCCUCAUCUACAAAUCAACCACUUGGGUAACCCCCUGGUGGAUUGCCGGGAUUAUAAAUCUGACAGUUGGCGCGCCAAGUAGGGGUGGUUGCGAGAUGCUUUUUGCGACCACGAUGGCAUCGAAUCCCGGUGUUGUUCUUCCUGAGAGCAUGAAGGACUUCCUUGCCAACUCGGUGCAGAUGCAAUUUGGAACCAUACUAGCGGAUUUAGAUCCGACCGCUUUUUCCAUCAACUCGGCGGCUUUCGUGAACUCGGCGACUUUCGUCGACUCGGCAACUCCUGCCGACUCGGUGACUUCCGUCAACUUGGCGACUCCCAUCGACUCGGCGCCCUCCAUCGAUUCGAUGUCCACCAACUCCAUCCCCGUUGGAUCUAUUCCAGUGGGAUAAGUUCUCCAUCCAAGGAUCAUCAUGCCACCUGCCCUGCAAGUCGGUGAAUUUUCUGUGGCGGAACCGCCCAACUUAAGCUGGUUUAAGUGCGCCUAAUCGCUGUCGGAACAGCAAUUAUCCGAAACGCACCUAAAACAGCAUAAGUUCGGUAGUCCGUCGGGUGUCCCUAGGACUCCUCGAAGGAUCCACGGCGUGUCUCAUAACCAUACAUCAGGAUAAUGUCCGCGAUGAGAUAAUAUCAACAAACAUUACAUUUUUACAUACAUAUAUAAAAGGUACGAGUUAUUACAGGACCUAAGUUGAAACAAACUUAGUGAUGCAGUGUUAGACAAGCUCUAAGAUUUAAACAUAAAUAGUUCAGGAGAGGAUGCGCAAGUAGACUUUUUCUCUAGGGUAUUGUGAGACUCAAAUCAAUACCCUAGGGCUUCGGGGUCUCCUCUUCUGUAGACUCCUGUGGAGCUUCUGAAAGAUAACCACAAGGGGAAAACCCUGAGUACGGGGUACUCAGCAAGUCUUACCCGACUAACCAAUAUAAUAGUUUUCUUUGGAAUGCAUGCUAGCUUUUGGGUGUGCUUGGCUAACACAAUUUUUGCAGAAAAGCUUACUACGAGUAAAGCCUUAGUUUUAUCUUUUACUUGGGUUAAGUUAUUACCUAACCAUUCUAAAUGAUAACAGAAGUAAAACAAUCAUAGCUGUUAAAUCAUACAUUAGUUGAUAACAGAAAGAAUACAUAUUGCAUGAAUUGAUACUACGAUGCUCAACAGUGAUCAAGUGCAUUCAUAACCGAGAAUUGCGGCGAUCCGGAUCUAAUUACAUCCUGCAGGAGAGUACCCUGAUCACCAGCGUUAUACGACUGUCCAGGUCGUAUCUAACAACCUCUCGAUUAGCAAUCUCAAUGAUUAGGAAUACGACUACCCGGACCCAGGGAUGCACCCCCACAUGGGACCCCACGUCUGGCCCGAUCACCAUGUGAGUUUCAGGCUACACCCCUGCCAAUCUCCAGCACGUCAAGCGCGGGUACGAAGUAUUCCUGAUCACAGAGUUUACAAAUCUACUGGGCUUUACUGGUCCCAUACCCAGUAAGUGAUCAGACGCUUAUCACUUGAUCAAAGGUUAAGACAACGAAUCGGGCCUUAACCAAAUUAAUCUAGCAGACAGAACUACAUCUCUAGCUUCUGUCCGUUUUCACUUUCCAAGUUAUCCUUCAUAAGCAACAUGUAUGACUUAAGAGUUUUCCUUAAGGUUGGUAAACCAAGCAUGUAAGCAAGUAAGGAAUUCUAGACUUGGGUAUCUUCUAAGGUUUGAACAAGUGGCAAAGAUGUCCUUAAAACAAGGCAUGAUCAUACACAAGAAUAGGUCUCAAGCAACUCCUAAACUUAGUGCAUACAUAUAGCAAAUAACCUAUAUUAAGUCACAUGAAAUAACGACUCCAAAAUAGAUAGGUAUAAAUGCACCGGGGCUUGCCUUGUUCGUUAAAAAGAUUAGUAAUCUCUGACGGGUGAGCUUCACAGGGAACUAACUCAAACACUUCUUCAGAUUCUGAAGGUCCUUCUGAAAAUUCCCAAUAAUCUCCUUCCGGUGCUUCGGGAUCUACGGUAUAAUACAUGCAGGGGUUAGAAUGCAAAAUUUUUGAAUAACAGACUAUACAACUUUCCUUCAUGAUAAAGUUGCAAGCCAACAAGGACUAUACGACUUAUCAUGAUAAAGUUGCAAGUCAACACACAAAAAUCUAAAAAGAUUAACCUACAAUUUUAUUUUUCUUAUUUAACCCUACUUAUAGCUUUUUCUUUUAUUUUUAGAGAAAGUUAUAAUUAUUUUCUAACCUGAAAAUCUAAUUUCCUAUGGGUUAAGCAUUAUUUGUGAUUAAGAAAGUGUUAUUCAUAUUUUAUACAUUUUAUAAAUAUUAAGUAUUUAUUUAAUUAACUUAAAAGGAAGGCAUUAAAUAAAUACCCAAAUUUUUAUUAUUUUUUCUAGGGUGUAAAAAUUUUAAUGCAUAAAGGAAAAUAAAACAAGCCUAACAAAAUUGGUUUCACUAAUUUUGGACACUCCUAGAAAUUUAUGUGAUUAAAAUGGUGUAAAACGAAUUUAAACGAAUUAUUUCACUAAAGGAAAUCUAAUUUUUCCCGAAAUCACCCGGAAAUACUUUUCUUACUCAACCCCUCUCUACCCUCUCUCACGUACACUGGGCCCCACGGCGCGGACCCCACCUCUCCUAUUCAUUUCUACCCGCCGGCCUCUUUUCCUCUUAACGGGCCUCGUGGGCCGAUUUCUUUUUCUUUUUCUUCUUCCGGCCCGACACCGGCCCACGGCCUUCUUCCUUUUUUUUUCCUUCUUCUACCGCGACUCCGGCCUGCUGGUUGCUUCUGGGCCCUCGGCCCUUUUUUUUUUCUUUUCCGACCGACCUGCGCGUACUCCACUGGGCCUCCCGACCACGGCCCAACCGACGGCCGCGCCACUCCGGCCUCCUUCUCUCCUUCCCUUCUCACUGUCGCGCGCACUACUGGGCUCCUAAGCCGCGACCCAGCAACCGCUUGCGCUCGGCCGGCCUGCUUCCGUUCCCCCCCCCCUUUUCUCUUCAUUGACGCGCGGGCCCAAACGCCCAGACUCUUCUUCCUCCUCCCGCCAAAACGCGGCCGCGACAGGGGGCGGCGCGACUCGCCGGCCGGCGCCCUCCUGGCGGUAGGACUAGGCCAAGACACCACCCCUACACCUUUACGCACCCGCGCGCAGCGACAGCUCCCCGGGAGAUGGCCGGAGCCAUCCCAUCCACGGCGACGGGCGGCGACUCUCUCGGCUGGCCGUGGCUACUCACGACGACAGCAUAACCUACUCAAACAUCUACCUCUACACCAUCCUAGGACCCUAAGGACUCGCCUACGACUACUAAAGAAGGAAGGGGAGCAGCGCAAGGUGGUUCUCACCGUGAGCGGGCGGCGCGACGGCGGGGGACAGAAACGACGGCGAGCACGAUUACUCCGGCAUGGAUGUUGGACAACAACUGGUUUAGGGUGUAGCUGGGGUGUCUGUGGAGGAGUGGGCGAGAGGAAUCGACGGGAGGCGAGACGUGGCGGUGGAAUUUUGCUCAGCGGCGGUGUUUGACAGAGGAGCGCUGGCGGCGGUAAAAAGGACGACGGUUAAACGGCGGCGCGGGAGCGGUAGAUAUUCAAGUGUUUCACCGCGCGCAUGGGCGACACCGUGGCCUACCCAUAGGCUUGCGUGGUGAGGAGGUGGCCUAGCUAAACGCGCUGGCGUACGACCGACGACGGCGGCGGCGACACGUCUUGGUGCUCUGUCACCGCUCCUCUAACGCCCGGAUCUUCAGAGUCGAAAUUUAGUCGAUCUCCAAUCCGACGGCCUCCAAGCGCCUUAACAGAAGUUGAAGAUAAACUCAAACCCGUCAUCUUUUGUUUUGGCUCUGACUCGAGAUAAUCAUCAAAUAUGAUUGAAUUUUGAUUUGUUUCUUGGGUUCCUUUGAAAUUCACUGAAACUGACAUUCAGUUCGUCAGUCACCGACAGUGGUGUUGAUCUUACUUGGUGAACCGAUUCAAUGACCCAAAUCUUGUUUUCCCAGUCCAACUUCUUCUCAAACGUGUUCUAUAAUCUCCCAAGUUUCCAUUUUGCCCAAGAACACCUACCCUUCUUGAUCUACAUUGCUCUGAAUUCAAACUCAAAGUUAAUGUCAUAUUGCUGUUUCAGACUUAACAAAAAUUCAGAGUGUCAGUUAACUUGUGACAAUGUGCUGACUUUGAGCUUGAGUUUGACUUCCUUCCCUUCACUGUUCCUGGCCAACAACACUUGAAUAUUGUAGUCCAAGGUUCAUACUUCAAUAUAGUGUAGUUGUCCUGGUGCACUUAUUUGAAAAAUUCUCCAGAAAUCAAUUUCUAAAAUGGACUCUGAGGCUGUUUCCUCUGAAUCCCUAUUUUCGGACGGUGAACAGUAAACUGAGUUUUUCUUUUUCUUUCUUUGAUUCCUCUGAGAUAUUUAGCACUGUUUCAAUUCCAAAUUUUUGAUCCUUCAGUUCCAAACACUCCUAUACUUGUAUUCCACAUUUUUGACAAAUUUUUCUGAAUUUCAAAUUUGAAAUUCAAAUUUCGGCCAAAUUUGACCCGAAUUUGAUUUUCGGCCAAAUUCUUUUUCUUUUCUUCUUAAUUUGCUUUUAAAUUUUCCAAAGUCACUUACAUGACUAGCUUGGCAACUAUUACAUUUUCUUUCUCCGAGAAGAUUCUAGAUCUACUCGUCGGCGACCACCCACCCAUGCCCUCCAACCUGAUCGCGGGGCUAGAUUGCAUCAGCAGUACCAUCACUGAGUGCUUAUAGCUGUCCGAGGUAGCGUUGCAUGAAACUAGGUUGCGCAGGGUUUGUCCCGUGUCCCCUUCGAUCUACAGAACUCGGACGCUGAGUACUCCGCCAAGCUUGAUCAAGUUUUUCAGAUCCAAUCUGAAAAACCCGCCCAAACCCACCUAAUUUCUGGAUUGUGGUGAAUUUCAAGUGCCUCAGAUCAUCCUAACGCCAAAUCCAUAUGGAAACAACGAUGAGAGCAACACCUCCACACCAGUCCGAGAAGUUUUCAUAGUCUCCGCUGAUGAGCCACCUCGUGAUGGUGCAACAGAUUCUCAAGAAGAAGGCCGUAACACCAGGAACCAGAAUCGCGCGGAACGACGCCAACAGGAGCAAGCCGGCGCCUGACAGCAACCUGCCGCUAAUACAAAUGCAGCAGGUGACCGGCGCCAGCAGCCACGCAAUGAGCACGACAACGUCGACCAAGGUGGUGCUCGGGAAAGACACAGGCACUGUGUGCGUGCCUGCAACCUAUUAACCGACCUCGAGAAGGCCGGCCACAAUGUCUUCACUACACCCCAGGCCAAUCUAGGGGCUGCCGUUGCCGAGCUGGAAAAUCUUCCAAAUUCAGACCAAGUUCAACGGGCUAAAGCGUGACUCCAAGCCGCCAACACCCAGAUUGAAGAGCGGAUCCACAAACGAGCUGCACACUCCCGAUCUACAUCAUCCAGACACUCCCGAAACUAGUCUGGGCAUAGCAGAUCUGACCACCACCGAGGCGACCGUGCUGGUGGUCGGAUGGACCCAAUCCACGAAGAAGAGGUGGAGCAAAACAAUGUUCAACCCGCCAACCCACCAGCCAACAAUAAUACUAACACACCAGCCAACCCUCCCGUCAACAUCAAUGCCAACCCUCAAAUCAACAUCAAUGCCAACCUACCAGUCGACAAUAAGCCAACCCACUGGUCAACGUCAACGCCAACAACGGCCGUCAAUGUAACAACAAUGACGAUCGCGACCAUGGCAGGAGAGGCGAAGCUGAUGACCAUGGCCGACAAGAACGGCAAUGUGAUCUUCGUGAUGAGCUGCGUGAAAUCUGUCAAAAUCGUGACAUACGCGCCGACCUAAAUUACCGCCACAAUGAGCGCAACGAGCACGAGCUCCGGCGCCGUGCCGAAUACAAUCGCGACUACGGGGUUCCUGUGCCUAACCGUGAUGCUAAUUGUGAGGAUCAACAUCGCCAACAAGAUGAGAUGCGCCGCCACACCGACUACGACCGCACAUAUGGCAUCCCUAAAAAUGCCUACAACCCGCCCAAAUGCGACUACGAUUACGAAGAUGCUUACUACCCGCCUAGACAAAACUACGGCGGAUGCAGCAGGGCUCCUCCUGUCCAGUACUACCUUGAUGAUGAUUACAACGAUGACAUGGCAUUAGACAGCUUUGCUGCCUUCACCCCGCACCUUAGGGCCGUUGAUUGGCCGCCCACAUUCAAACCUGCCAUCAACAAAAAGUAUGACGGUCGCUCCGACCCCACUAUCUAGCUCAAGACGUACAACAUUGCGGUGAGAGCUGCCAAUGACACCUACGACCAGAUGGUCGCUUAUUUUCCUGUGGUGAUGGGUGGUGCUCUGCUCCUAUGGCUAGAAAAUCUUUCCCUCAAUAGCAUCGACAGUUGGGGUCACCUCGCUAGGGCUUUUACUCAGAACUAUCAAGCCACCUACAGCCGACCUGGAAACAAGGAAAAACUUGGCCAAGUCCAUCAAAGGAUAGGUGAAAAUAUUCGAGACUACGCCAACUGCUUCUUUGAGAAUCGCAACAAGCUGGCUGGCAUUGAUGACCGUGAUAUCAUCUGGUACUUUCGCUUUGGCUUGAUGAACUAGAAGAUGUUCGAGAAACUGUACGAGGUUGCCCCUAAGACGGUCGGGCAGAUGAUGGAAGUUGUCAACACACAAGCUGACAUCGAAGAGGCGGCAAAGUUUAGUUCUAGAAGCACUGCCAAAACGACGACUAUGAUCAGCCAAUCCAUGACAACUCUACAAAAGGGCCCCAGAGGUCUACGCUGCUGAAGGCGACCCGACCAGGAAGAGCACUUUCGAUAGGGAAGAAUUUGAUGGAACCCUCAGCGGCCCGUGCCCUUUCCACAAGGACGCACGUCAUACUCUCCGGGACUGCAUAGCCCUGAAGAAAGAACUCACCGCCCCGGUGGAAUACAAGCGACCACAUCACAACGACUAUCAUCCGGACAACAACAAGCGAGAUUAUCGUAGCUGUGAUGAUGACCGUCACCAAGAUGACCAUGACAACCGCAACAACAGGGACCGUGACAACCACAACGAUCACCACCAUGAUGACCGCAAUGAUUGCAACAACAAUAGGCGCGACGACCAUGACAACAGAGAAGAACGCCGUGACCAGCUAUAGCAAGACGUCCAGUGGCCCAACACCGACCAGAACGGGGACUUCCAGUGACAUCGAGGCCAACCCUUUCAAGGUGGAUGCAAUUAGAAAUAUGACAAAACCAUCUAACAAGAAAGACGUCAUGAAACUCACCGGCAUGAUGGCGGCCCUUAGCCGUUUCAUUAGUAAACUUGGAGAAAAAGGUCUGCCCUUCUUCAAGCUCCUCAAAAAGGCAGACAAAUUUGUGUGGGAUAACGAGGCUAGCAAAGCACUCGAAGAGCUCAAAGCUUUCCUCACCACUCCUCCCAUCAUGACGGCCCCGCCGACCAACAAACACUGUACCUCUACAUCUCCGCAACAACGCAUGUUGUUGCACCGUGCUAGUUGUGGAGCGCCAGGAACCCGGCCAUACCUAUGCAGUGCAAUGACCGGUAUGUUAGUUAGCGAAGUCCUUAGUGGCCAAGACCUGCUAUACCCAGGUGCAGAAACUACUCUAUGCAGUGUUGAUAUCAUCAAGAAAGCUACGUCACUACUUCCAGGCGCACAAGAUCUGUGUGGUAUCCUCAUUCCCCAUUGGCAAAAUUCUCCACAAUAGGGAUGUCAAUGGCUGAGUUGUCAAGUGGUCUGUGGAGCUCGGCAAAUUUGACAUUGAUUUAUGUCCACGACACGCUAUCAAGUCGCAUAUUCUGGAUGACUUCAUGGCCGAGUGGACAGAGAUCCAGAAGCCGCCCUCCCUGGAGAGGCCAAAACACUGGACCAUAUACUUUGAUGGCGCCCUCAACCUUGAUGGAGCCAACGCGGGGGUUCUGUUCAUAUCCCCCAAAGUCAAGCAGCUCAAGUAUGUGCUCUAGAUACACUACAAGGCCACCAAUAAUGGCGCCGAGUACGAAGUUCUCAUCCAUGGCCUGUGCAUCGUUGUUUCUUUGGGAAUUAAACGCAUCUUUGCCUACGGCAACUCCAAGGUUGUCAUCGAGCAAGUCAACAAGAACUGGGACUGCACCAAGGAAUCCAUGGAUGCUUACUGUGCGGAAAUCCGCAAACUCGAGACUCACUUUGAUGGAUGCUUACUCCUGCAUAAUUCACUCGGGAACAUGUGGCAAUCAUGCCGCCUCGGGAACUUUGGUCGGCAAAGCCUUCCGUUCUGGUUUUUACUAUCCAAUAGCAGUAGCUGAUGCAAAGGAGCUCGUCCAAUGAUGCAAAGGGUGUCAAUUCUUCUCCAAGCAGCAGCAUCUUCCAGCUCAGGCCCUGCACACCAUCCCACCAUAAUGUCCUUUCGCAUGCUGGGGGCUGGACAUGGUCGGACCCUUCAAAAUCGCUUCGGGUGGCAAUACACACAUUUUCGUGGUGGUUGACAAAUUCACAAAAUGGAUUGAGGUCAAGGCCGUCACCAGCAUUGAGUCGACUAAAGCAGCUCAGUUUGUGGAAGAAAUUAUGCACCACUUUGGAGUGCCUAACAGAAUCAUAACUGACCUUGGCGCACAGUUCCCAGGCUUUGAGUUCUAGGAUUUUUGCCAAGACAACCUCAUCGAUGUGUACUACUCCUCAGUAGCACACCUAUGCUGCAAUGGUCAGGUUGAGCGUGCAAAUGGGAUGGUCCUCCAGUCCCUCAAAUCAUGCAUCUUUGAUGACGCGUCCAAAUAUGCUACCAAGUGGCUACGCAAGUUACCCCAUGUCAUCUGCCUAAGAACAUAGAAGAGUCGGGCUACCGGCUACACCCCUUUCUUUAUGGUUUAUGGCUCAGAAGCUAUCUUGCCAUCUGAUGUGGCCUUUGGUGCCCCUCGCAUCCAGUACUACAAGGAAGGCGAGGCAUAAAAAACUUGGCAAGUCGACAUCGACAGCCUUGAAGAGCAUCGAGUGGCGGCCCUCAUCCAGCAUGCACGCCAUGAGCAGCAAAUACGAUGCUAUAAUGAUCGUAAUAUCAAGGAACGCUCCUUCAACGUUGGCGACCUAGUGCUUCACUGGGUCCAGUAGACUAAGGGCAUGCACAAGUUGGCCUCACCCUGGGAGGGCCCCUUCAUCAUCAAAGAAGUCAUCCAACCAGGCACCUACUGACUACAAUGGGCAGACGGCUCUGACGUCCCCAAUCCAUGGAACAUUGAGCAUCUACGAUGCUUCUACCCUUAGAAUAUAAAGCUAUGUACUCUGUUUCCCUUUUUAUCUUGAAUAAAUAAAACCUCUAUGGUUCUUUUUGCGUACCUACUGCCUUUCUGUUCUCUUUCUUGACCUGUCCUUGACGCUCAGGGGCCGCCCAACCUGUUCAGCAGUCUGCUCGCUUAAAGCUAGAGGGCUUCCCCUGGCGCCGACCUCUGGGUCAUGCUUUUGCCUCCUCCCCCUCUCGAGGCUAUACGACUAACUCGUGUAGUCGGCGUCCUCGUUAGCGAAACAUAGACAACCUCACGUUCAUCCCUCCUACAAGCUCGAGAUCCGCUCUCAGCAGGACACUGGUCAAAUGAGGCUACAUGCUUAGAGGCUAUAGGCCUCAGCUACACGCUAUCAUGUUGUAUAUGCUAAGGCAGGGACAAAAUUUCUUAUUUCAUCUCAUACAAACAAGAACAUCACAUUCACCAUUGCAUGAAAUAGUUUAAUACAUUUUCCUUGUUUACUUUACACGUCCAGAUCAUUUACAAUGGUUUCUGUUGCAUCAUGGUACUGAUCAGCAACUUCAAGAAUUUUGUUCUCAUCAAAGUCGACUACGAUUCCAGUAGCGGCACGCUCCAAGGGAGUUGUCGGGAAGUGCGAAGCCAACAAUGCAAAAGUGUUGUUCAUACAUUCAAUGGCAGUAUCCUUCACCAACUUCUUCAGUUGACUCGGCGCAGCUUUGAGACGGUCCCACAGAGGUGUUGGUUUGGCUAGAUCAGUGUCUGCCUUGAUCAUGUCCAUUACAUAGCCAGCCGACUUUUGCAACCUCCCUAGCUCUAACUCCAACCUUGCAAUUACAUGUUGGUCAUUCUGGAGGUUACUUACAACAUCCUCUAAGCAAUGCUCGAGGUCCCUGCGUGCAUUGGAUUCAAAGGCUAGCUUCUGGGAGACCGCAUACUCACGAUUCACCGUUGUGUCGCGUUCUUCCAGAAGGCACCUGUUGGAGUCUUCACACUCCUUGAGGUCCUACCGAAGCCUUUCCUCUCUCUUCCUGGAGUCUGCAUGACCGUCAAGUUUGCUUCAGCACAACAAUACCCAAGAAAAAACAUGAUUUAACAAGUCGGUGUUACAUACCUGACAGCUCCGAGCUAAUGAUAUCCUUCUCAGCUCGCAGCUCAGUUUUGAGACGCGCCUUGGCGCCCUUGCUCUCUUUGAGGCUCUGCUGCAGCCAGGCUAUUUGCGCCACAGAAUCUGCAGAAUCAACAGAAGAUUGGAUCAGCAUCAAGAUUGCAAAAGCAAAGUUUAUUAAAACAGAUCGGCACAUGGUACCUCUCAUGAUUCCAUCAUGCACUGUCCUCUCAAUGUCGUAGCGAGAUUGCUGCCUCUGGAGAUCUCCUUUUGCCUUUUCAAGCUCAACCUCCAAGUAGGCCACCUUGAAACAAAGGCACUCGGCAUGGAGGACCGCCUCCAUCCUCUUGUUAGCAUGAUCCGCCAAACCCUGUUCAAAAUCGUACUAUCAGAGAUCUUGGAACCUAUGUUCCGCAACCUGGCAAUAGCUGCCCUAUCCUACGCCAUGUCCACAGCAAGCUCAGCCUCGGAGAAGGGGAAGGCGUGGGGAUCAUCCGUUCCACCCAAGGGGGGCAAGUCAGGCAAUGGAGCAUUCAUGGGCGCCCCACCCUGCUGAGGAUUGGCCCCAGCGUCCUCGACGUCCUCCUGGGAUGUGUCCUUGACCUCGAUGUCCUCCCCAGCUGCGUCCUCAACCUGGAUGUCCUCCCUAGCCGCAUCCCCGACCUCGAUGUCCUCAUGGGUCUCCCCCUCGACCUCGACUUCCUCCUCUGUCUCCUUCGUAAUCCUGGAGCCGGCCAUGCUGUCGUUAGUGGCUUUAGCGCCGACCUCAACUUGUUGCGAUGCAGGAGUUGGUGCAACCUCUUCAGUGCGAUCACCCACGACAGUCCCGACCUCCGCUGCUGGCGACUGCUCGGCGGCGCGACCGCUGGUGGCCUCAGUCUAGCCUGAGCACCUAUGCAGCUGGGCGCUACUAUCAUCAGACCACAUGCCAGCCCUGGAUCAUCACCACAGCAAGCAACCCACACAUACGUCAGACUACUAUCCCAAGCAUAGAAAGUACAAAGGCGGCAACACUUAGAUAGUGCUCUUCUUCCUCAAGCGCAACUUUGGGCACAAUUUUUGAGGCGGUGUAGGCGCAUCUCCGAUGGUGCCGCUCUGCAUCUUCUCUUUCAACGCCUCCUUAAGGUGUGCUACGUCAGCCAUGAUGGUCCUCGCAGGCUCCGACUCCUUGUCCAGCGCAGCCGGACUCGGCGCGUUGGACCUUGCCUCGCCGCCCGACCUAGCAGCGAUAGUAGUACUCGACACAACCUUCUUUCGGCCGGUCAAGUUCUUCUUCCUCCCAAUCGGCUGGGACACCUUGGAAAGAGGCCGCUUCUCCCCAAGCCUGCCAGGUUUGCUGCCCUGCACCUUGAUCCCCACCACCUUCGCCGGUUGCACUAAUGGCAGGCCCAAAAUACGACUCAGAGUCAAACUCAAGGCUGGGCGGCGAGGCGACCGGCACGUCAACCGAACAGAUCUUGUGGGGCGCCCCUUGAGUCCCACCAGGUAAUGGCGGAUGGCAAAAUAAAUGAAUACAUACUCACCGAGGUAGGCAAUGGCCUCCUCAACGAAGAGGCCUUAGGGGUGUUCUGGUUGCUGACCUCGCCCUUGAACAACCUAGAUACCCGAAGAAAACCUCUUCAUCGGACACCUCACCAGCAACCUCCUGAGUCGGAUCAUUCAGACCCGAGUACUCGUACAACAGAUGUACUCGGUAUUUGAUUGGCUAGGUGGCCCUCUGAUAGAAGUUGAUGCCAAUAGCUGCAGGCGUUAGUCCCUACACCUUCAGGUCAGCGAUCUUCUCCAACAACUCAUCUACUUGGACCUGUUCCUCCGAGGUCGGCUGAUUCUGCCACUCGACUACUGACACAGGCCCAAAACCCGUACACGGCGGCAGCUCGAGCUUCUGAUUGGUGAUGAGAAACCACUCGGCAUGCCACCCCUUGUGAGAAUCCUUCAACUGAAGGUCAAAGUACUCAUGCACCUUCUUGGGAUGCAAUGAGAAUCCAGCCCCCCCCCCUCCAAUAACCCUAUCCUUUCUACCCUUAGUAUUUACGGGCUUCAACUAAUAAAGAUAGCACCUUAGAUUGAAGUGGGGGGAUGCCUAAGUAUGCUUUGCACAAAUGAAUGAAGAUAGAAAUAUCCAGAAUCGAGUUAGGGUUAAGGUGUACCAACUCGAUCUUGUAAUAAUGGAGGAGUCCGUGAAAUAAAUCCCAGUGGGGAUCCCAAACCCACACUCGAAGAAUGGCGUGAAGACCACCACCUUCGCCGUAUCCUCGGACGAGAACUCCUGACUAGCGAUGGGCUUCUAGUCGAGCGGUUCUUGCGGACCAAGGAGCCCAUGGUUGACGAGGGCCUGGAUCCACUCCUACAUCAUCAUGCUCUUCAUCCACACCGAGGAAGGAGUUAGGACAUUGGACUGUGCCAUUGAUUCGCGAGCUUGAGUUUUGGAUCUAAAGUGGACUAGGGUUUUGAUUUGCAUAAGGUGGCGUGGCAGCUCAGGCGGUAGUGGUGGCGCGUGCGUGAGAGGACUAUGGAAUGUGGCAGUGUAACCUAGGGUUCGCGAGUGCGGUGGCGGAGCGCUCAGUAGGCUCGAGGUGGCGGCGCUGCGAAAGGUUGAAGAUAAGAAGUGAAUAACGGCUUCGUGCCACUCGUGCUCUUAAAGGAGAUGAUAGUGUGAGUUACGAACGAAAAUUGCAGGCCUUUUGUUAGCAUUGUGCAAUAUGCCGAGCGAAAAUUUCGGAUCCUUCCAUUAGCGUCAUCUGCACAUGAUAGAAUUUGCAGGAUCUUCAUUACAGACAUGCCUCUGAGCCUUUAUCACACCUUGUCCUAAGGGCCAGACACCUAACUCUACUCGGCGCGCCUUAGUGGCUCUGCCAGUUCUUGUCCUCGAGGGCUGGGCACCUUAACACUACUCAGCGUGCCUUAACGGCUCCGCCAGUCCUCGUCCUCGGGGACUGGGCGCCUUAACGCUACUCGGCGUGCCUUAGAAACUCUGUCAGUCCUCGUCCUCGGGGGCUGGACACCUCAACUCUACUCGGCAUGCCUUAACGCUCCGCCAGUCCUCAUCCUCGGGGGCUGGGCGCCUUAACCCUACUUGGUGUGCCUUAACGGCUCUGCCAGUUCUCGUCCUCGGGGGCUGGGCGCCUUAACACUACUCGGCGUGCCUUAACAGCUCCGCCAGUCCUCGUCCUUGGGGGCUGGGCACCUUAACCCUACUCAGUGUGCCUUAACGGCUCCACCAGUCCUCGUCCUCGGGGGCUGGGUGCCUUAAUUCUACUCGGCGUGCCUUCGCGGCUCUGCCAGUCCUCACCCUCAAGGGUUGAGCGCUUAAUUCUACUCGGCUUGCCUUCUCGACACAACCAGUUCAUAACCUCAGGGACCAGCAUACCAGAACCAACACAGCACGUCUCUGUGGCCUCACACAAAAAGCCCCCAGAAGAAGACACAAAGGCAUAUUUUCAUUCAGCUAGAAUCAAAUUCCUAGCUUUACAUAUCACAAAGCGUGUAUGAACAGCUCCAGGAUAGACGACAUUACAACACAAAUGAAGAAAAAAGUGCGAUACAAGAAAGCUGCACUCAAGGCCUCCCCUAGAGGUGUCCUGGACAAAGCAUAGAGUACAUGAUGCAUCUUCCUCAUGAGGAUUCUUCUAGCAUCAUUACCACCCGACCUUACCACAGAGACUGCAAAGGGAAGGAGGACCCAGGUGUUCCUCACAAGAAUUCUUCUGGCAUUAGAUUUCUAGAUGGUCGCCUGAUAUGAACCCGCUAGGGUUGAUUCCCGAUCUUUCGAUGAGAGGCGUGGGAUAACUCGAUUGGUGGAUGGAGACGACGUUCACGGCCCGACUACAGCCUUCCAAGCUGCGCCUUAGCAACCGAUACACCACCUCCAAUGGCUGCCGCGAUCUUGUGGAGCGCGUCACCCGGCCACUAGGGCACUCGUCCUGCAAGCAAUCGAAGAACAAGCAAGAACAAGUAGAACAAGCAACUGAAUUGCAAAUAUAAAGAUGAAAACAAAUCUGAAAUCACAAAGUUGGGGUUCUGAAUCGAGUAGAACGGAUGGUCUAGUCGACACACGCGUCUACAAGGAAGUAGCAAUGGCUAAACUUUCAACAAAACAAAACCCAAUCUGUUCGUGGCGGAUCUAAUCCUUAUUAAUACCUAGGAGGACGACCAGGGGGGUGUUGGGGUCGUGCUCCAACCCUAGGACACGUCCCUAAUGGACCCAACUUGAUACACGGCCCAUCGGGCCAAAAUAGGGCGACGCAGCACCUGUGGACAGAAAACCUCUCGGUAGUAUUUCGAUGAUUGCGGCCGCCUCAGAAUAGAUAUGGACAUGAGUCCGGAUCCAUAUGAAAAUAGACUUCAUAAGGAUUCCAAGGAGUACUCGAACGCCCAAAACGGAGUCCGGAUGAGGUCGUGGCGGUCGUUGCAAGUUGGGCCAGAACUGUAGUCCGAAUCCAGCACCAAAACGUGUUGGAUUGGAGCUCUUUCUUUCCUUGGGCCAAAAGUGACGUGGUGGCCUGGUGGAGGACGUUAGGAAUACUUGGACUUGGCCCCCAAUCUACUUCUUUGGUCCUCCAUGCCUUCCAUGUGUGUUUAACACUAUUUUUGAUCCAUGUAUGUAUUUCUGAAAUUGACAACGAAUACACAUCAUGGUGCAGCAUCAAUUCAUCAAAUGUAUCACAUAUAAUUAUGAUAAAGAAUUGUUUCACCUCAGAGUCAAAAGAUGCCAAUAUGGUUGUAUCCGAGCAUGUGAUGUCCUCAUCAUUCUCCCCUUCUUGGCUGCAAGUCGUCCUCGACUUGCUCCAGUGGCAUUCUAAGGUGCUUGUUUUGAUGUUGGAGCACGGAGCGACGGCCAUGCUGCAUGGCCACAACCAGUAAUGCUCCCCUUCUUUGGUCUUACCCUGUUGCAUAUGGGAAAAACUAGAAAAACUUUGCAAGACAUUAGUAGUGUUAGUGCAGCCCUCUAUUUGAUCAUGGUAUUGUAGCCCAAAAGGAUAUUUCAGAGUGGAGCAAACAUAAACUUUAUGCACUAAAUAUUCUCCUUUGCUAUCAUAUUUGCCAAUUGCAUGAAGCGAACAAUGAUUAAAACUUGGCAAACCAGAACCAAAUUGAAGUUUCUCUUUUAGACAAUUUAGAUUACACAAAACAUCAAAUUCAAUGUAACCCAAAGUAUUUAAAGAGGAUAGCAAAUUCAGUUCAUCUUGUGCACAAGUAAUAGGAUGAAAAAGCUUAUCUUCAGCACAUUUGUAUGAUUCCAAACCAAAAGUAUCACACUUAUUCACUACUUGUGGUAUAGGAGUAAAAGAAUCAUCAGCACACAAGUCCUCUUUAUCACAACGAACAGCAAGUAAUUCAUUUUGUGACAAAGGAAAAUCAGCAAUGGGUUCCACUAUUUGUUGCUCUUCAUUAGCAUGGAGAGUGGACAAAUUUUGGAUAUAAUGGGUCACAUCAUUCUUGCAAGUAUUCACAGAUAAUAGAAUCUCCUUUUCAACAUUGAGAGCAAGGCAAAACAAUUGACCAAUAUGUAUGUAUGAUUUGCUUAGCAACAAGGUUUGAAUUUCAGAAUUGAGCCCUCUCAUGAACCUACACAUAACAUCUUCCAUGCACUCAUCUAAUCCACCAUACAUGAUACAAAUUUUAAAAUCAUGGAAGUAUUCUUUCACAGUCCUACUACCUUGCCUCAAGUUGUCUAAUUUUUCAAGCAAAUAAUUAGCAUAAUAUUCAGGAAUGAAUGCAUCUCUAAAAAGAAAUUUGAAGUCUUCCCAAGAUUCUAGAACUUUGUUGUGCCUACAAAUCGUUUCCAUUCAAGCAAAGCAUAUUCAGUCAAAACAUUAGAGGCAAUAUAAAUCUUUUGUUUCUCGGACAGGUCAUGCUCAUCAAAUUCAUUAUCUACUUUUAUCUCCCAAUCAAUGUAAGCUUUAGGAUCAAACUUACCAUCAUAUAACGGCAAGUGUUGAAUAACACUCUGAAUAUGAGAGUCUAGUUUCAUCAGCUCCAAAAUCUCCGUAUCACCUGCCAUGGUUAGUAGGAAACAAGAAACACAAAAAUAAUAUGUAUCCUCCUGUCAACUACUAUGAUAUGUUGGUUGUAAUUCUCUCAAACUCAACUUGUAAAAACAAGCCCUUACAAGUUCUUACCAAGCCAAACAGGAGGUGACGGCAACUAACAAGUCUACAACCGUGGAGUGAAGUGUAUCGGUGCCGCAGCAACAAAAAAAAACCUGUCAAGCUGUAGUCGAAUAUGUGGAGCUGUAGGUGGGCUUAAGCAAGGAAAUAUACUAGCACCACGUUAGUCACAAAAGCAAGUUGAGUAAUCAUUCAACGGUGGUACUGUGCUGGUCCUAGGCUAAACCAUGCUAGAGACGUGAGCCUAGGCACAAAGGUAGUCACUGAAAAGAGCAACUAGCACAGCACAAAGAAAACAACAGAUUCAGCCCCUUCUUUCUUCCCCUUGUCUUGUCUUUUUUUUUCUUCUUCUUCUUUUUUUUUCUUUCUCUUGUUUUUUUGUUUCUUUUUUUUUGCAGAGGCCUAAAUCUUUUAUUUGGUACUAUAACAACCCAAACAAUAAGGCUAUAGCACACAGCCCCUUCGUAUAUUAGAUUUAACAACUCUUGCUAAUACAGCAGAUGCGGAAAUCUCUAAGACGAUUGUGGAGCGCUCAGACUGAAUUUUGCUGCAAGGUCAGAUCCGUUGGAAAGAAGACAACUUCAAGUUUCCAGAUUGUAUUUAAACUCCUAAAUCGGACAUCAUAUGAAACCGUGGUGGCAGAAAUGAAGCGAUGAUGUAUAUGGUGAUGGUGGGUCUCGUGGUGACCAAAACGUGAUAGAACUCAAAACUCUAAAGGAAUAGACACUAAGACCAGCAACUCGACACAACCGAUGCAACCAAAAACUCAACAAGCCCUAACUAAGCAAUGCUAGCAAAGGCUCAAAGGGUUUAUAGGAUUACAGGUAAACUAAUCUACUAUCUUUUUUGUGCUUUUAUGAACUAUAGGUAAUUAAAAAACAGCAAGGAACUGGAAGUCUCUCACCGAUAAACCUGGCUCUGAUACCAACUGAUAUGAACCCGCUAGGGUUGAUUCCCGAUCUUUCGAUGAGAGGCGUGGGAUAACUCGAUUGGUGGAUGGAGACGACGUUCACGGCCCGACUACAGCCUUCCAAGCUGCGCCUUAGCAACCGAUACACCACCUCCAAUGGCUGCCGCGAUCUUGUGGAGCGCGUCACCCGGCCACUAGGGCACUCGUCCUGCAAGCAAUCGAAGAACAAGCAAGAACAAGUAGAACAAGCAACUGAAUUGCAAAUAUAAAGAUGAAAACAAAUCUGAAAUCACAAAGUUGGGGUUCUGAAUCGAGUAGAACGGAUGGUCUAGUCGACACACGCGUCUACAAGGAAGUAGCAAUGGCUAAACUUUCAACAAAACAAAACCCAAUCUGUUCGUGGUGGCUCUAAUUCUUAUUAAUACCUAGGAGGACGACCAGGGGGGUGUUGGGGUCGUGCUCCAACCCUAGGACACAUCCCUAAUGGACCCAACUUGAUACACGGCCCAUCGGGCCAAAAUAGGGCGACGCAGCACCUGUGGACAGAAAACCUCUCGGUAGUAUUUCAAUGAUUGCGGCCGCCUCAGAAUAGAUAUGGACAUGAGUCCGGAUCCAUAUGAAAAUAGACUUCAUAAGGAUUCCAAGGAGUACUCGAACGCCCAAAACGGAGUCCGGAUGAGGUCGUGGCGGUCGUUGCAAGUUGGGCCAGAACUGUAGUCCGAAUCCAGCACCAAAACGUGUUGGAUUGGAGCUCUUUCUUUCCUUGGGCCAAAAGUGACGUGGUGGCCUGGUGGAGGACGUUAGGAAUACUUAGACUUGGCCCCCAAUCUACUUCUUUGGUCCUCCAUGCCUUCCAUGUGUGUUUAACACUAUUUUUGAUCCAUGUAUGUAUUUCUGAAAUUGACAACGAAUACACAUCAUGGUGCAGCAUCAAUUCAUCAAAUGUAUCACAUAUAAUUAUGAUAAAGAAUUGUUUCACCUCAGAGUCAAAAGAUGCCAAUAUGGUUGUAUCCGAGCAUGUGAUGUCCUCAUCAUCGCCACUCCUAUCAAAAAGUACAAGCUUCAGGCCUACAAGCGCUAUUUCUUGAGCCAUGCCUCUCCAAGAUGAAUGGUGGGUCUAUUUAUAGCAGGGUUGCCGACUAGCAUCCAAGACGCUACAGUACACCCACGAAGACACACGACAGAGCCCCUCCAUACCACCGUGACUCUACAAUACCCACGUGACGACCAUGCCUUAUCUUCAAGUACUGGAGGAUAGCACUCUCCUGCAGUUGUUUUGACGAAGCAACACUCCCGUGAACAAAGACAUUUUUGUCACUUACCUAUCAUUGCUUCAGUCCUUAUCUUCAGAGAUUUGGGCACACAUUUUUGGUCGGCGGGCUUUUGUGGCUAUGCCUAUCCUUCGUGCUCAGGCACUAGGAUCAAUUUCAAGAUGAUAACUUUCCUUUUUCUUAACCAUUGGACUGAUUAUUCUAAUCACUUCAAUGCUUGGGGGCUACUCCUACGGAGUGCGUCUCGCGACGCCCUUCGUAACCUUCGCUUCGACUUACUAGAUGCCAACAUCCAUCAACUCGGUACUCGUCUACGCUCUACGCGUUGGCUCUGCGCUCGCUCGAAUUUUCUUCUUUUUUGAGUAUUGCGCAGCCUCUCAUCACCAUGACGCCUUCACAGCUUCAGCCAACCUCAUUUCAAGCUUCGCUGUGAUGACUUCAAGUUCCUAUUCACCAACACAUUGCUCGGGAGCUUGAGGGAUAUGGGUACCCCAGGUACCCCACGGGUCCCCACCGAUCAGGAUACUAGUUGGACCUGACAAGUGGGCCUGCCCGACUAGGACGUGCGGGCCGAGGUCAUGAAGUUACUUGGAGUAGACGUCAAGGCAACUAGACAAUCCAAAUCUACUCGAACAUCAUGGGACGCGUUUUGUAAUCCAACUUAGGUUGUUUUCCAUGUAAAUACUGAGUAGAUUAAAUUCAAACCGAUUUGUAACUCUUGGUCGCCAGACUAUAUAAGGCGACCAAGGGCGCCUCCUAGGGGCAACGGAGAACAGAACAUCAAUGGAGAUACAAGCAAUACAAUCCACACAUACAGGAUGUAGUGUAUUACUCUCCGGAGGUCUGAACCUGUCUAAAACCCUCGUGUCUCGUUCGUGUUCUCGCGAUUACCUUCCAGUUCUUGGUCUUGCCAUCACCCUCACCUACAAAUCAACCACUUGGGUAAACCCCUAGUGGAUUGCCGGGCUUAUAAAUCUGACAGGGAUUGCUCUAUCUCUGCCUUUGUGAACUUAUUGGAAAGCUAUCUUGCCUCUCUAAAUCCAAGUAUGUUUGAUUACAACACAUCUUCAGCUAAAGGAAAAUCUUCUGGGUUUGUUGACCCAUAUAAGACCCACCUAGACAGCAUGAAGAAGUCCCAGAAAACACCUCCUUGGAUGGCUCCUCCCCCUGGUUGGAUUAAACUUAAUGUGGAUGCUGGUUUGAUCUCAUCACCAUACAUGCUGGGCUUGGCUUCAUUGCUAGAGAUCAUUUGGGUGAAGUUAUUUUCUCUGGUUGGUCCAAUGAUCGGCUCUGCAAAUCUGCUGAAGAGGCCGAAUGUUUAGCUGCCUUAAUAGGAAUCUGUCGUGCUCUUUCUGUAUUCCAAGCCCCUAUGUGGUUGGAAUCAGAUUGUCUGGGAACAGUCGAAGCACUCAGAGUUACUUCUCCAAAUCUUUCUCCCAGUUGUUUUGUUAUUGAAGAAGUUAAAAGAAUCUUGCAUCUAUUCCAGGAUUCUAGACUUUCUUUUUGACAUUGCAGCGUAAAUGAGGUGGCUCAUGUGUUGGGCCAGAUAGGUAGGCGAGAGCUUUUUUCUAAUUUUAUUUCUAAAGGUGUUCGUCGGCAGCUUUAGAACGUGAUUGUAAUGCUUUAAUGUUAAAGUAAUAUAAGUCUCCCUACUUUCAAAAAAAAAGAAUCAUUAUAGUAUGCAUGAUAUGGAGAUUGUCUAGUUUUCAGUUUCUGAAACCAUCAGAAAACACACACCACACACACAAUGGACCAUCACCGGGGUGUAGAUCCCUCCCAUUCCUCCGGCCACCUCCCUGCCCGCACUCACCAUCGCGCUCCCUCGGGGUCAUGGUCAGAGGUUGGGGCCGCGUCAUCAUCUUCCUACGGCGGCAGCGGUGCCAGGUACACCUUCACUUCCCUGUCGCCCCUCCACAUGGCAGCCGCGAUCGAUGAUGUCUCGCCCCCAUGCGCCGUCGUCGCCCACUAGCCCGAUAGGGGCGACCGCCCACCAACCCGAUAGGGGCGACACGGCCACCGCAGGUACAUCUACUCCCUAUGCUCUCUACGUUCUGUUGCCCAAUGUCUUGAGCUGAAAGAUGAGGUCGCGAAGCACCAGCUAGUUGUGGUCUCCCAUGGAACUACCCGUCGUGGAUCCAACUCUACUUACGCCCUCUGCAUUGCCGACAUGGCCCCGGGCCUCGUUGGCUCCUCGCUCGUCCACACCUGCUUCACUUCGGUGCCACCGGCCUCGCCCACACCACAGUAUAUUCGAUGUAAUGCCACAGUAGAGGGUCGUUGGCUGGAGCGCUCAUUGAGGCCACAUGGCAUGCAACAACGUCGACUCGUCAAGGCGUGUGGCACUAAUGACUAAUCGCGACCAUGUGCUGGCUAUUCUCCUCUCUCCAUCGUUCUGCUGUCUAUUCUUCUCUCCCCGAAUCCCCUUAUCCUUGUUGUCAUGUGAAGUUAGAACUGGCAGUUUCAACAGGCACACAACAUCAAGUCAAUGUGGGAGGAAGAGCUCUUCCUAGGCCAAGCAGGAGCGGUGCAAGAGAAAGGUUCUUGGCAUCCCAUGGUGCAAGAGAAAGGUUCUUGGCAUCCAGUUCAUCAGUUCAUGUGUUUGCUCAUUAUCUAUUAUCUAAAAAAUGCCAUGUGUUUGGUGAGGUAAUUAACCAACGAAGAUUACCGUGGCCAGCCCCAAGGGUUGGGGAUUUGGGAGGGUGAUGGGUCGCAGCGGUAGCAACAUAAGCAGGUAUGGUGUCAGACACUAUUGGUGUGUUUGGUUUGAGGAAUCACUGCACCUCAUCUUAGAUGAGAUUGAUCAUCAUGAGUUGACCCUAUAAAAUUUAGUGGGAUGACCCCAUUCUUCAUGGUUAUACUAUUUAUCAGUUUGUGAGGGAUAAGAUGGUGGAGGAUCAACUCAUUUCAUUCCACAAACCAAAUAAAAAAGUGAGAAGUGAGAAGAUGAGAUAUGACUCCAUUCCUCAAACCAAACACCUCAUAUACUUAAUCCAUAUACACAAUAAUUCGUUCAGUACUUUUGUUUGUUUGGUACUCAAGGAUCCAUUCAUUAGGGCUUGUUGGAUCCCUUUGCUAAAGUUUAGCAACUAAAAUUUACUAAACUUUAGUUACUAAACUUUAGCAAAGGCUGUUUGGAUACCCUUACUAAACUUUUAAGGCUGUUUGCUAAACUAAAAUUUGCUAAAAAGACCUAUGUACUCUUAUUAAAGGUACUCUUCCUUUCCUCUCUCCUCCCACCUCCCUCCUCCCUCCCGCCCAUCCGGUGGCCAGCGAGCACACCCACGAGCCUUGGCUCGCCGCCGUCGCCUGCGCCCCACCGCCAGCACGUGACGAGCCCAUUUGAGGAGCCCACGUACACGGCGCGGGCCUCGGGGCAAGCGGCGACCGCGGUUACCGCGUCAUCGCCCUCCCGGAGCACCCGCUCUAGGAUGUGCCUCGUCCGGUCGUCGUUGGCCACCGCUGCCUCCCGACACCACACCUUAACGGUGCCGUCGGCGGAGCCGGUGAGGACGAGGCUGCCGAACCCAGCCGCGGCGACGGUGUUGACGGCCGGAGCCACACCGCGCGGCGGCACCGCCCACCGCCCCUCCCGCCCUUUGCGAUGUAGCUGGACGGGUUGACGGAACGGAUCCGGUGGUGAAGGUGGCGGGGAUGGCGGAUCCGGUGGUGAAGGGGGCGGGGAUGGCGGAUCCGGUGGGGAAGGCGGCGAGGACGGCGGAUCCGGUGGGAGACGGUGGUGAUGGCGGAUCCGGGGGAAGAACAGCGACGGGGAUGGCACAGGGAGGGUGGUGCGGCGGGGAUGGGAGCACGAACCGGCGGCGGGGGUGGCCUGGAAAAGCCGACGGUGGCGGCGGAUUCUUGAGGAGGGUGCGGCUGCGGCUGGGGAAGAAGCUGAGUAUGCGGGUACGGGUGCCGCUGCCGCUGGGGAGAGAGAAAACUGGACAAUAAAAGAGGGGCAAAGGGUGUCCACCCUACCUUUUAGCAAGUUUUAGCAACCAAAAACUUGCUAAAGUGCUAAACUUUAGCAGCUCAACUUUAGCAACUUUUAGCUGCUAAACUAACUUUAGCAACUUUUAGCAAGGGUGUUUGGUAUCAAACACCCCCUUAGUCAUAAAUCUUGUAUUGAUCUUUCCUGAACGCACUGAGAUCUAACAGUGGUAACAUGCAGCGAUAAAAUGCUACUCCGUUAUUUUUUGCAAUCCUAUAAGUUGGAACGAUCUUCUUUGAGUAAAUAUUGACAGCAUUGCUCCGUGUACUGGGUAGCUCUUUCUGUGAAUUCUUUCUUUCAAGUCUUCGUUCACGGGUAGUACUGAUGAUGUUUCUUUCAGAAAGAACUGAAUAGCUGCAGUUUCUUUUGACUAAUAAAUUGCUUUGGCAAAGAUCUGAAGGGCAGUGGCGAGGAGGAGGAAGGAGGCAUUGGCUUAGCUUGACAUUGGUGUUUACUUUGAAAUCUAUUACACGAAUAUUUAAAUCUGUGCAAAAGUAUGCAAAAUAUAAUUCGUGCAAAAGAAUUAUUCAGGUAUGAAAUACUAUUUCUACCUUGUAAUCAAUGUAAAGAGAAUGGGAUGUACCUUAAAAGCUAAUUUAAAAUUAUUUUGAAAUCUCAUUUACAUGAAUAAAUCUUGUUCUCGAAUUUAUAUAUAUAAAUUUUUUUUACUUUUUUGGAAACACGUGCAUGCCAGAAAUUAAAUGAAUGAUUCACUUCCAACCGGACAAUUCGAUUCAGCACUUCCAAUUCGGAGAACCAAAUGGACUUGAAUGAAAUGGGUCAGGCCUUACCCAACGCGACCACCUUGGGCUUCGUCGGCCUAUUUCUUAAUAUAAGAAAGCCUUUAACAAUUGAGAAGGAAAGCCCCCCUGUCGGCCAGGGAUGGCCCGGCCCGGUCAGCACCGCUAAAGCGCGUGACUCGGAACCGUCGGAUGGUUUCCUUAAGAACCCUAGCUCCCCAUCCUCCUUCCCCUCCCCUUUCCCUUUCGAUUACGGCGGCGCCGCCAUCGCAUCACCUCCAUCGCAUCUCGCCCUCCUCCAUGGCUAGCAUCUCGCUCUCCAACUGCGUCCUCCUCCACGCCGAUGGCUUCCACGGCAACUUCUUACUCCGUAACGCCACCACCGCCAUGGCCUUCACCAGUCGGGGGACCAGCAUCGCGGCAUCCUUAAGCUGCCCCGAGCGUCCGCUGCUCCCCACAAUCCUCUUUGUGGAAUGCUCGGGCGUUGACUUCACCAGCGAGCCCCCACGCAUCGUCCGCGCGGUUGAAAACAUCAUCCUCUUCAGCGUUCUCAUCGGCCCUCGCCUCCCAGACCUCUCGCCGUGCGACUACGACUACUUCGUCUACCGGGUCGGGGAGGUUCCGUCGCUUCAGCGGCUGCCGUCCCCGCUUCCCACCUUCCAAGACGAGGAUGCAGGCCUCCUUCUCUGCGGGGACGACGACUUCAUCGUCGCCGCGUUGAUAGCUACAAACAAAUCUGGCGUGUACGAUCUCCACCGCUUCGACUCCAGGACUUGGACCUGGAGCCAGGAGGUGGUGCCAUUGGUGGCGCCGCAGGCUGCGUUCCCCUUCAAGAUCACCAUGAACUCAAUCCGGCUUGGUUACCAUCUCACGUCCACCGUAAUCACCAUCGGAGGCGAAGGUGGCACGAUGGGCUGGGUCGAUCUCUGGCGUGGCAUCCUGAUCUGCGACGUGCUCCACCGGAAGCCCGAGCUCCGUGGUGUGCCCCUGCCGGUGCCGAUGGACCUGCUGACAUGCAACAAUGGUCGGGGGGCUGACAUAGGAGGCUGCGGAAAAUCCCUCCGCGGGAUUGCCGUCAUCAAUCAAAGCCUCAGGUUUGUUCAUUUGGAAGCCAUCGUCUCCACCACCUUCAAGACUCUGCCUACCGAUAGCGACAGCGAUGAAGAAACAGCCGUUCCUCACUCACUCAUGUCUGACUGGGUGAUCACGACAUGGAGCAACUCCAAGAUGAGUACCUCGUGGGAUGACUGGAUCAAGGACUGCGAGGCCAAAGCAUCGCACACCACGAUCCAGAGCAAGCCCAAGUCAAAGAUGCUCAACUCUGGAUUGCUGUCACCUGAAGGAGCAAAUCAAGUGCGAGCCUUGCAGAACCUCUGGGUGUCCCACCCAGCUCCUGGCAUCAAUGAUGAUGUCGUUUACUUGCUUGCCAGAGUCAGAUUCCGGGACCCGAAGGCAUUCGUUAUCGCUCUUGAUGCGAGGAAGAAUGUUCUGCUAGGCUCAGCUGAGUUUGCCA